AACAUUUUGUAAUAUUAAGCUAUUGAUAUUUUAAUGAAACCUAGCCGUCUUUGUUGUUAUCUAUCUUUCCCUAUUUUGUAUGUAUUGUUAACAUGAUAUCUAGAACUUGUUUUGAUCCGCCUUGAACCGCUUGUCGCUUCCGCUGUCGAAUCCCAAAAGUUUGGGAUAUGUUUGAUUUGCUUGUUGAUGAUAGAUCAGUAUUGGUGGAUGUGAAGGUUUCCUCUUUAUGUUGCUUGCUUUUACGGUAUGUUGGCUUCUUGGUUAUUUUUGUUUCCAAUCCUUUUGGUCGAUUGGUGUUUUUUCUAAAUUGGUGGGUUUGUUCAUUUUUUAUUUGGCUGUUCUAAUUGUUCUGUCAACAUUUGGGAAAUUUGUGAGUGUUCGUAAUUAGGCUUUUCUUUGUUCUAGUCAAUCCUUUUGUUCGUCCAUGACUAUUCAAUAUGGUUUGUUUCUUCUUUUUCUCAUUUAAUUUGCUGGUCAAAAUUAGUUCCUAUUGGUUGAUUAGCAUGUUGCUUUUGUUUUGAUUGGGAGACCGAUAAAUUUAUAAUGGUGAAGGUAGUGUACCUAAGCAUAAAUUGGUUUUUUAGUGCUUGGGAGUUAGUAGGCUUCAUUGUUGUGAUAACAUGGCAUUGGUAACUAGUCUUCUCAAUGUCUACAAAAUUGUGUUGGUCUAUGAGUUUGUAUUUGUUCUCUUUGGAUUUUGGGUUUAGUUUGGUUUUUCAAUUUAUCUUGUUUGGUUUUGCUUCGUUCAAAUUGUUUGUGUUGGUUUAGUUUCGUUCGGUUUGGCUUGAUUCAUUGUGGUUCAUAUUGGUUCGUCAAUUUGUCUUUGCAUGGUUCGUUUGGUUCAGUUUGGUUUGAUUUGGAUUCAUUUUGAAUUUGUUUGGUUGUUAGGUGAGUCAAGAUAGUCCUCACAAUUGGUUUGUUUGUUUGGUAGGUCAAGUGCUCACUAUUGGAUUGUUUGUUUGGUGGGUCAAGUGCUCAUAAUUUGUUUGUUUGGUGAGUCAGGUGCUCACACUUUAGUUGUUUGGUGAGUCUAGUUCUCACAUUUUGGUUGUUUGGUGAGUUUGGUGCUCACAAUUUGGUUUCUUUCCCCCUUUUGAUUCUUCUGAUUGAUUGUUUGGUGGGUCGAGUGCUCAUAAUUUGGUUUCUUCUCCCCUUUUGAUUCUUCAAGUUGGUUGUUUGGUGAGUCGAGUGCUCACAAUUUGGUUUCUUCUCCCCUUUUGAUUCUUCUGAUUGCACUUCUCCCACUUUUGAUGAUUCUUUGGUUGUUUCUCUCUCGAUUGGUUCUUCUGUAUGGUUGCUUCUCCCUACCAAUUUUUGUUUGGUUUAGUUUGAAAUGGUUCUUCUACUUGGAUAAUUUCUCUCUUUGGCUGAUUGAUGGUUCUUGCUGCUCUUCAUUCGUUAUACUACAAGCUAAUUUGGUUUAUUUUUGGGGUUAAUUUGUAACAAGCUUAAAGCUUAGUAAGCUUCAGCUUGAGGGGUAGUGUUAAAAGUUUAUAUUAUUUACUAUGUUUUUCGUAUUUUGUUUGACAAACUCACAAUGCUUCUUGUUGAUGCAUCAUGAGUUUGAGAGUAUGUGUUAGAUAACAAAGCAUUGAGCUUAAGCUAUUAGGCUUUUAUAUUAGUAAGUUAGAGUCCAAUAGAUUUAUUAUAUAUUCUCUCAUAACAUUUGUAUUAUUAAGCUAUUGAUAUUUUAACGAAAUCCUGGCCGUCUUCGUUGUUAUCUAUCUUUCUCUAUUUUGUAUGUAUUGUUAACAGUGACAAAUACACCACAAGAAAAUUUUCACUUUUGGCGGAAUUUUAGCAUGCCAAUGACCAUUAACACGAAGGUGCUCCGUAUCACUGGCCUCAUUAACACAAAAACGAUUAGUACUUCUAACGAAUACUCACCAUCUUUCUCAAAUCUCCAAAUAACUUUAUCUUCUUGAACCGAAUCAAUGAGGGAAGUUUGCAGAAAUUUUAGAGCUUCAGCAUUUCCAACAGAGGUUGCAUUAAAUCAACAUUUUAUUCCUUUCUAUCAUAGCCUAAACAGACUUGCCACCUUGAAAUUUUCUACCAUCGGAUUCAAAUGCCAUGGAAUAGCCAAAGCAGUACCGUCAUGUAACCAAUUUUGAUUCCAAACUGAGAUGUUCUCUCUAGAGCCAAUGUUCCAUUUUUACCCUCCUCUAACAAAUCUCACGCUCCAAAUGCUUCGCCACACGGAUAGCUCGGAUUGUGACCAACUCUUGACUCAAGCAAACCACACUUAGGAAAAUAUUUAGCUCUAAAUAAUCUAGUGAUCAAGGUUUGUUUAGCGAGCAUAGCAUAAUUAAAAGCACCAAGGAUUUUAAAACCCAACCCACCCUCACUCUUGCUCAUUGAAAUACAAUAUCUUUCUCAAUUCUGUUUUGUUUUGAAUAUUUAAAAUACUGAUUUAUAAAUAUUUGACUUUCUAGUUGUUAUAAAAUGUGAUUUUUUUUAAUGAUUGCGUGUGCACUUAUAACUGGUCGAAUUAUUUUAGAUAUUAUUAUUUUCAAUUAAGAUAAUAAAAUGUAAAUAAGAAUUGAACAGAAAUUUGAAAGAUGGUUAGGUAUCCUGGAUUAAAAAAGGCUAACUAAUAUAAUAGACCAUGUAACUGUAAGAUUCAUAGCACACAUGUUAAUGAUGGUCAUUCUUUUAUAACAGUGUGCAUUAAUUAAGUACUGUACAAUACUUCACCCUCUACUCAUUCACGAAACCUGCGCAUUUUUCCCUGCAGAAAAUAGAGUCACUCCAAAGAUUGCCAUUGCAGCUCCAACUGCAAUAUUAUGAAUUAAUAAAUCAUUAAAUAUCAAAACAAAAAUCAUAAACAUAUAAAAUAACAUGUCAAUUUGUUUACCAAAUCAAAUCCUAAAUAAGCCAAUAAUAAUUAUCUUUCAAGCAGUAUACUGAAUAUUUAAAAAUACAUAAUGCAGAAUAGAUCACAGUCAAACACCUAUAUACCUUCUGAAACAAGCAGAACAGUAUUGUUCAUUAGCCUCGUGUACAACUUGCGGCUUUUUCCGACAUCAGUUUCAGGAAUGCUUAAGUGUGUGCUUGGCAUCACUUUUCCACAAGCCAAAAGUGCUUUUCUUUUGCCAGACUCCGUUUCCCCAAUUUUUAUCUUGUUUGGAUAAAGAAAAAGCGAUUCUAGGAAACGUGAUUUUAUGCCCAAAACGCCAGUUCUGCUGAAGCUCACAUUCCUAGCUUCUGCGGUGAAUCCCAAAAUCAAUUUUUGUUUACUGUACAUUGGCAGUUAAAAAACUCAUUUCCUUCCUUCUUUGCCCUCAGAUCUAUAUCGUUUUCUUCCUUCUCUCCCUCUUGAACAACCCAUUUCAGUUUCUAUUCUCUGUCUCAACAUUUCUGAAUUUGUUAAACAUUUUUUUUCUUGUUUUCUUUGCAUCAAGCAACUUCCAGGAUCUCUGUUUUUUGUUUUCUUCACAUCAAGCAGCUUCCAGAAAAUUUGUAUAUUUUCUUUUCUGUUUGUUUUGGGAUGCGUUUUAUUCCUUCGCUUUGUUAUAUAUUAUAAUCAUUAAUUAAUUACUAUAUGUUUUUAUUAGUUUUUACGUUUUUUUUUAGGAAAAAAAUAGUUUUUAAGUUAUUAUUAAUAUUUAUUACGGUUCUUCAACAAAACAAAGGAAAAGUUAUUAUAUGGUCCUUAAAAAAAGAAGUUAUUAUCAUGGAUCCACUAAAAAAAAAUAUUGUUAUCGAUGUAUUCUAAUUAAUUAUUUGAAACAAAAAAGAAUAUUAACAAAAUUGAAAAACCCAUUUUGAUAAUUAUACAUCUAAAAGCAAUUUUGAUUUAAUGUAUCCAAACAACACCAACUUAUAAGAAUCAUUUUUAACGAAGUGUAUCCAAACAAAAAUCAAUUCACAUCUAACUCACUUUUAAUCAAAAUCAAUUCUCUCAAACUCAAUUCUAUCAAAAUCAAUUCUUGCCACCGCCAUACCAAACACACACUAAAUGAGGGUGCUGAGUAGCAGCAGUUACAAUUCGGAGGAAUAGAUCGUUGAGAUUACCUAACAACAGACUGAUUGGAAUAGGAGCCUGUACUCCCAUGUCUCGACUAACCUGAAAUAAGCAUUGGCACGUCAGAAGCAUUGAUGCAGUUGCUUGAAAAUUCUAAGCAUCACGGAUCAAGUGAUAUUUAUUGGUGCUUAUAGAGAAGGGUGUUUAUAUAAGGACCUUCUCUCUCUUCAUUUUUUGUAUGAAUUUCAUUUAACACUUUCUAAUGAAAUAAAUGAGUGUUUUAGAAAUGUAAUAAUAUAGAGUUUUUAGUGGGAUCUAUUAGUAAAUUUUGUUGUGGUCCUGGAUUGGAGGAAUUUGGUGCUUAUUAAGUAUUGACGAUAAAAAUGAAUGAUGUGUACAUGUGUGGCCCACUUAAGCACCCAAAUAGGGGAGCUCCAUUGUGGAUGGUCUGAUUCCCCCUCAAAAAAAUUAUUGUUUUUAAGGUAAAGUUUCUAUUUUUAUUUUUUUAAUAAAUGUCCUUAGAGCAUUUAUUAACAAGAUACAUUCUUAAAUAAAAGUUUCAACAAAGUCAAUAUCAAUUAAAAAACACUAACAUAAAUGUUGAGGCUUAAAUAAAGUCAAUAUCAAUUAUUAUAUUAGUAUUUUUUUUUUUGAAGAAAAUUUUAUAUUAGUAAUUUUUUUAUUGAUUUUAUUCCUGACCCAUAUUUUUCACCCAAUAGUGAUAGUUUUAUGUAUUUUCUCUUCAAAUUUGAAAUUAGAGCAAAAAACAUGCAUUAUGACCAAAAUUGCGACAAUGUAUUAAAUUUGAAUAUCAAACACCUAGAUUUCCUUCCAAAAAAAAAACACCUAGAUUUAAAAAUAGAGGGACUAAUUCCUCUUUCAAAUAAGAUAGAAUAUCCAAAAGUGCAUUUAAACCUAGAAUUAAAUGGUAAAAUCUAAGAUUUUUUUUAUGAUGGUCGAAGUUUGAACCCCCGGACUUUGCAUAUAUUAUACAUUAUCCUUACCAACUGAGUUAAGCUCACGAGGACAAAAAUCUAAGCAUUUAAUAAAGUAGAAGGUUAUUCAAUGAAAUUGAUGAGAAUAAUGAUAAUGCCACGGAGCUAAAGUCACUUGAAUUUGUGGCAUGUAAGCUGCUAGUUACUCUGGUUUUGUGCCUACAUGAGUUAACUUAUGUUGAAAAUUAUCGAACAUAAGUUAACUCAUGUGAGACAUUUUUAAGAAAAGGAACAAUUUUGAAAGGGAGAUGUGCAAUUUCCUUUUAUUUUUCUUGCAUCUUUUCACUUCAUUACAAUAGUACCGACCUUAUCAAACCAUUUGAAUUGCUUGUCAAUCAAACAUUAAUCAUCUUCAGGAUUAAUGUAUAUUCUAGUGACAAAUUUAUGCAAAUAAUAUUGAACUUGUGCAAUUAUACUUAAAAUUUACAUCUUCAAGUUUCCUUGUUUGUUAUCUAUAGGCUACCACUAGUGAUGAAUCAUACUACAAUAAUGUUGAUGAUGAUGAUGAUUAACCGCUUUGAAUUUAGUUGUGCAUUAUAUGUAUGUGUUUGGCAUCACUUUUUCAGCAGCCAAAAUUGAGUUUACUUUUUUAAACGUGGUUUUCAGAUUUUUUUUUUUUUGUUUGGGUGAAUGAAAAGUACUUUCAGGAAACUCAGUUUUGGUACAACAGAAGUUGGUAUUCCUAGCUUCUGCUUUUGUGAAACUCAGUUUUGAUUACAAUGACAUAUAUAGUUACCAAUAUACCCAUGUUUUCUUCCCCAAUUUCCUAUGAAUAAACAUCUUUCUUCUUCUUCUUCCUCAAAAAGAACAUCUUUCUUCUUCUUUAUUUUUGCAGAUCUAUCCUAAUUUUGUUGGAUUUGCAGAUGAAAAAGGAAAACAGUGAUGAGUGAUGGAAAGAUCUGUUCUUAAUUGAUGAGUUGUGUAAUGGAGAAAUGGUAUGAGAGAAAAAUGGUGAAAUUGGGAAGAAGAAAGGUUAGAAGAAGAUGGAAAAGGAAAAUGUAGAGUAUUGAGAGGUGGAGAAAAAGAUGAAAAUGGAUAGUGGGUAGAAGUGGAAGCUUAUGGAGAAAUGAAGAAGGGAGAGUGGGGGAGACGUGAGGGAGUUAUUAAAAAUAACUUAAUUGAUCAAUUUUUAUUUUUUAUUUUUAUUUUUAUUUUUUUUUAUGAAAAAACUCAAUUUUUAUUUUUUUUAAAAAACUCUUAUAAUAUGAAAUUAUUAUUUUUAAAUAAAUUUGUGAACCAAUCAAAAUCCAUUUAUGAUUUUAGAUAAGUUUAAAUAAUUAUUUUAAUUAAGAUUGAAAUAUUUAGUUUUAAUUAUAAGGAUAAUUUAGUCAUUAGACAUUCAAAAUCAAUUUUGAUUCAAACUAUUCAAACAACAUCAACUCAUGAGAAUCACUUCUAGUAAAGUGUAUUCAAACAUAAUCAAUUCACAUUCAACUCACUUUUAACCAAAAUCAAUUCACUCAAACUCAAUUAUAUUAAAAUCAAUUAUCGCCACCGCUAUACCAAACACAUACUUAUUUUACUCAGGAUUCAGAACUUCUCUAUAGGUAGUUUGGUGUCAUGUUAUGCCAUUUGAUAGAACUGUUUUAUCUUCCAUUAGCUUCCAAGCAUUGAUAAAACCUAAGUAGAACAUUUGUAUGAUACUCGCCCUGAUCUCAAUUAUACCUACGCAAACAUACCUUAUUUCAUAUUAAUUAAUUAAAUUUUUUUUUUGGUUACAAUUAAAAAAUAUAUUUAAUUGUAUGCUUUUUAAAUUUUAAUAUAACAAAACAAUAUAUGUGCUCCCAAGUGGUCUAUUGGUUUAUGCCCCAAUUCAUCUUUUUUAUCAAUUUACAUAUAAAUUUUCAAGAUUCAAAUAUAUGGUUUUAUUCAAUAUCUACUUUUAAUGUUCAUGUAUAUAUUCACUACUCAUGUUUUUAUAUGAAUUUUAUUUAAAUUUGAUGUUAGAAAAUUCACAUACAAAUUGAUCAUAAUGACCAAAAUGACAUGAAAAAAAAAUGACAAAAUUGUUAUAAAAAAUUAAGUCAAGGACGAUGAAUGUCAUUUUUUUUUUAUCAUAACUAAAAAAACUUUAACAAUUCACUGUUCUGUCUGUUCAACUUAGUUUUCAUUGCUUCACUGUUGCAAACUUCAUACAAGGAACUAAAAAAAAUCUUGCUAUCGUUAUUCUUUCUCAAUGAAGUCUUGUUUCACAACAUCCCUAUCGUCAAAGCAAUCAACAAACCUUCUCAACAUCAAAGCUCCAAAUAACCAAUAUCAUUAACAAAGGGGCGAUGAAAAUCACAUUAAAAAAUGGAUUUGGAUUUCCUGUUUCUAAUUUUAAUUUAUAGGUGACUGAGAAACCCAUAAGAAAAAAGAGAGAAGAAACCCAUGGAGAUGAGAAUCCGACAUUUGAUUAAUGCCUAAUUUGAUUUUUGAUUCCUUUUUUCAACAAUGAUAAUCGAAAAGAAUCGCAAAUCCAAUUUGCCUAGUCGGAAAAGGAGUAGAUUCAAUAAAUCGGACGAAGAAGAGUCAAGGUUGACUCAUAAACAAAAGAAGAAAACAAACAGAAAUUAUCCUUUGAAUCUCCUCACCUGUCCAAUUCCCACUAGUCUCACCAGAUUACUCUAUGCUUAGCUACCGCUGGUUCAAACCUUUGUGACUGUCUUUAGGUGACUGCUGUCUAGGUUACCUAAAAGGAUUAUCUUUUUCUAAUACUUAAUUUACGGGUAACCAUAAAUACACAUGACUUCUUGAUGCAAUGGUGACAAAGAGGAAGAACACAUUUUUAAUUAACAUAAAAACAACUACAAUUGCAUUAUUGUUAAAGACUCUUCUUGAAAAUACCAAAACUAUAACAACAAACCUGUUGUUCAAACAACCCUUCUUCAAUCUUGACCAUUGAAAAUUUUAAUACUCAUUUUUAUACCAUACACAACAAGAUUGACUUUAGCACCCUAAACUUCACUGCUUUGUGCAGAGCAGGGGAAGGAUCUGGAUGAAUUUUUCCGUUCAACUCUGCUAUGAUUUUCCGCAACAUUUUUAUUCUUCUCAUAACUUAGAAAUGUUUAAGGAUCCGACUACCUCAAAAGAUAAAGUGUGGACUUAUAAUCAUUGAUCAGAAAACCAUGUCACAACCUUUUAGUUUAUCAUACAAAAUUACACAUGUUUUAAUAUUUAUGCUUCUCAGCUAUUAGAUUUUUAAGCAAUGGUUAUUGCUGCACUUUACCCUCUAAAAUGCAUCGAUCGUUUACUUUAGUAUAUUUCUUGAUUGUUUGGUUAGCUUUCCGUUUAUUAGGGAGCACCAUAGUCUAUAAUAAUUCCAAAGAAAGCGCUAAAAGCUAUUGCAAACUGAUGCAUCAUGAAUUUGCUUUAACAGCCCCGUUAUAGAUUGUUUACGUUAGAAAAACAUGUUAAAACAGUAUGCAAGGCACUGUAUCUAAGUAAUUCUCCUAAUAAUACAAUAUAUUUCUCAAUUCAGUUUUUUUUUUUUUUUUUUUGUUACAAAGAUAAUAAAAAGGAACAAACAGGAAAGAAAAAAGAAAACGAAAAAACAAACAAGCUAACUAUUGCGUAAGGAAGAGAGUGCUAGCGGCGUCACUUCUAAGAAGAUUGGUGAGACCGGCAAGGGGAAUUCAGUUUUGUUUUGAAUAGUUAAAAUAUUAUACUUUUAAGUUGUUACAAAAUGAGAAGAUAUUUUUAAUGAUUGGGCGCACUUUUAAAUAUUUGAUUUAUAACUGGUCGAAUUAUUGUAGAUGUUAUUUUCUAUUAAAAUAAUAAAAUAUAAAUAAGAAUUGAACAGAAAUUUGAAAGAUGGUUAGGUUUCCUGGAUUAAAAACAGCUAAAUAAUAUAAUUAAUAUAUAAUAUAAUAUAGAUUAUCCCUCUAAAAAAAAAUACAUAAUAUAGACUGUAAGCUUUUCAUAGCACACAUAUUUAAUGAUGCUUCAUUCUUUAUAACGUUACGUUAAUUAACUGGAACCGAUAGUAUAUGAAUUAAUUAAGUGCUGUACAAUACUUCACCCUCUACUCAUUCAUGAAACCUGCGCAUUUUUUCCUGCAGAAAAUAGAGUCACUCCAACGAUUGCCACUGCGGCUCCAACUGCAAUAUCAUGAAGUAAUAAAUCAUUGACCAUCAGAACAAAAAUCAUAAACGUAUAAAAUAACAUGUCAAUGUGUUUAACAAAUCAAAGCCUAAAUAAGCCAAUUAUAAUUCUCUUUUCAUGCAGUAUACUGAAUAUCCAAAAAUACAUAAAAUCAAGCAUGGAUAGCUCUCUUUUACCCCAAUCUCUAGGCUUCACUCUCUGGAGGAACCAGAAAUGGCUCCCAAAAAGGCGCGAUUAUGCAUGGUAACUUCCAUUUAUUUAUUUACUCUGCUAUCAUUUGAUUGAUUUUGUUGGUAAAUUCAGUUGCAGAUGUUAGUGAUAACUGGUUAUUAUUAAUGUGUUUAAAUAAUGAAAAAAGAGUAAUUAUUAAUGUUCCUCUCCCAAACCAACAAUCCAACUUGUCACUCCACACAUUAGAAGGGCAUGAAACAAAAAAAAGAGUGAAUAAUGGAAAAUGAAAGAAUUGGUAAAGUUGCAACAAAACACAGAAGAAACAAGCUAAUACAAAACAAAAAUAUGGACCACAGUCGAACACCGCUUCAAGGUUAAGAGAAAACUUUGGAUAUCAAAAUAAAUUAUGCAAGCAAAAGACACAGAAGACAUGAACCAAGAAACAUAUCACUUUAACCAAAAAUCAAACAAGUUAAUAGGCUUAUUCUUAGUUAGCAUACAAGUUCAGACAGCUUUAAGAUACUAAGUCAAAGGGAACAAAAUGAAAGACCAACAGCCCGAGAGCCUAUAUACCUGAAACAAACAGAACAGUAUUGUUCACGAGUCUUGUGUACAGCUUGCGGCUUUUUCCAACAUCAGUUUCAGGAAUGCUUAAAUGAGGGUGCUUAGUAGCAGCAGUUACAAUUCGGAGGAAUAGAUCGUUGAGAUUACCUAACAACAGACUGAUUGGAAUAGGAGCCUCUACUCCCAUGUCUUGACUAACCUACAAUAUGCAUUGGCAUGUCAGAAGCAUUAAUACAGUGGCUUGAAAAUUCUGUUAUGACUAUAUAUACUAACGAAGACAACAGAAUACAAUGAUUUUUACAAUAUUUUUUCCCAGCAAUCUAUUAUAACACCCCUAUGCCGAACAUCAGGCUGUACAGUAUCUACUAUCUAGAUUCUAGUGCAAUGGCUAUAGGAAAGGAGCGAAAAAUCCAACCCCACAGUCUCUCGAUUUUUCCAUUCAAAGAUGAUUAAAUAAAAUACCAGUAAAAGGUAAAUGUGCAAGAAAAUGAUGAGUCUAAAACAUCAUCAACAACCAAGCCUGAUAGUUUAAAAGAUGACUAUAUAUAAAAGUGAAACAAUGACAAUUAAAUUAACUUUCAAUCUGCUCAAUCAAAUUUCAAUUUGAAAAUCAAAGCAUACAGACAGGUACACAGACUACCGUAUGCUAAAUGUUGGUAUUCAAAAAGUUUGGAUGAAAUCAUAAUAACAAGAUGUGUCAUUCACCACAUUAAAUAGCUAUUUAUCUAACCAUCCAACAAUUAUGUAAAGCAAUAUGCAAGCUCAAUAUGGAGAGAGAGAGAGAGAGAGAGAGAGAGAGAGAGAGAGAGGAUCCAUCGACUCCAAGAGUAAGUCUAAAGACUUACUCCAAAUCUUGACCCUUCAUUUUAAUAACAAUAGUUAAUGACUGUGAUUAAUUCAUAAUAAUUGUUAAGGUGGGGAUUUUUUACUCUCUCCACGGCAGUACACCAUACACAACAAUUCACAAUUAUCUUUCUGACAAUACGUAUCAAUUAUUGUCAAUUGUCCAUGUUCUUUAUCACCUCUACCUACUACAACCGUGUUAAGUACAUGCCCUUCUUUUCAAUAUAGAGGUAAUUAGGGUUCAAUGCCUUCUUUUUCUUUUUCCGAUGCCUUUCUAUUAUAUUUUUUUGAUAGAAGCUUUUCUAAUUUAUUUAUUUUUGAUAAAUCGAUGCCUUUCUAAUUUAACCAUUUUUGUUUUCUAAUUUAUAAAGACGAUAUUAUUUGCUGUGUAUAAGAUUCCAGAACCUCUUUGUACCAUGCACAUAGACUCAAUUUCUUAUAAAAUAGCAACCAAAGAUGUUGUAUCAGAUAAACCCUAAUGAGAUUUUUGGAGGAAGAAAAAAAGCCCAUAAUUUUCACUGUGAAGAACCCUAAUGAAGAACUGAAUCCUAGGCUAAUAUGAAGAACCUGAAAAGAGAAGUAUGAAAGCUUUUGAAAAUUGAAAGAAAUAAAAAGGGUUGAGAGAGAGAGAGAGAGAGAGAGAGAAGAAGAAUAAAGGAACGAUUAUUGCCUGGAUUGUCGUGGGCUUGAAAGGAGUUAAAAACACCCCACCUUAACAAUUAUUAUGAAUUAAUCACAGCCAUUAAUUAUUAUUAAAAUGAAGGGUCAGGAUUUGGAGCAAGUCUUUAUAUAUAGGGUUUUGCUAGAAGACACCUUUUAUGAAGGUGUCUUUUAGCAAGUUAUAUAUAUUAUCCAAAUUAAUAAGUUAAUGAAAAUUACCCUAGUAGACUCUUGUGCAGCCAUUGUAAAUGAAACCUGGUCAUCUUUAGCAGCAACUAUAAGGCAAGGCACCUCAAAGCCAGAAUCUUCUCCAUGAGCAGCAAUAUCUACAAGAAGUUUAGAUGAUGCCCUCCAUGAGGACUCAUCAGACCUACAAUAAAUAUUUAGUAAGAAUGUAAGAUAUAUACAACAAACGAACAUGAAAUUACAUAUAACUAGGAAGCUCAUAGAUGAGGUUGACGUGUUUGUAAAUUUGAAUACCAUGCAAACUCACAGCGACUUACACAUCUUAUUAAGUGCACAGCUGAUUUUUUUUAAGUGAUUUUGAAUAAAGAUGUUGAAAUGUUGCUUAUGUGCUAAAAUACCCAAACUGAUCAAUGCUUAAAUUAAAUGAAACAAUUUGUAAUUUCUUCAAGUCCUAUAAACACCACCAACUAAUUUAAUACUACCUCCAUCCUUAAAUAUAAGAAUCUUUUGGCCAAAUCAUGGAAAUUGAAAAAAUUGGUGGUAGUAUUAAAUUUGUUUGUAAUUACUAUUAUUUUUACAAUUUUAUCCUUUUAGAGAGAGAGAGAGAGAGCUAGUUUAUGUUUUCACGAUAGUAUUUAUUGUUGAUUGAAGAAAAAAAAUGUAAAACAUAAAACCAUUUCAAACACGACCAAAUAUACGACCCACGUAUUUUACAAAAUCCCUAUGUAACAAAGGUAGUCCCUAUUUUCAAUGGUAUAUAGGCAUAAUGAACACUUAAAUAUCAUCAUUCACCUGUCAUGAACAAUAAUUGCAAUGUCACAAGAGGCCAAAGACUCCUUAUUCGCCAGCAGCCCUUUAACUCCAUCUUCAGGAAUCUCUCUCAGCACAAGAUAUUUCUUCUUUCCCUGCAAACAAAAUGAUAAAACAUAAAUAUGAAGAAAGAAAUGCAAGAUAUUAAAAAAUGAAUAUAUCAAAUGAAGACACGGGUCAUAUGUGAAUCAUGUAUCAUUUACCAUAGAAUCAUCAACCACAUUCACAGCAUAAUGAUCCUCGUUGGUUGGAUUGUAAAUUUCAGAAUAUGGCCUGCAAUAUGAAUUCAACAACAAUAAGAUACGAUCCUUAAUAAUUGAAGUUAUAGCACCGCUGUAACAGAAAGCUAAGAGGUAACAUAUAAUGAAAAUACCAUCGAAUAAAAGAUUUCAACAAUGAAGAUUUUCCAGCACUCCUGGGCCCAAAAACAAAGCACUGAAUGACGUCUCGUUCCGAGUGCUGCAAUUUGCGAUCAAAACUUCGCCUCCUAGUCACGCGGAUAGCAGAUGAUGGAUCGCCAGUGUAACCAAUGUAAAGCAGAUUCUUCACACUAAAAGUUGGGUCUAUAAGUGUCAUGAGUGCCCACUGUACAUAAAAGAUAAAAUAUAUGUUUAAAAAUUAAUGUCAAUCCAUUGCAAUAUUGCAGAUAAAUUGUCAAGUACACUUAAAAGAUACACAGACCAGUAACACAUGAUAUAAAUUGACGCAACUUUGAUUCAUAAAACCCUUCUCAAAUUAAGGAAUUAUAAAACCCUCAAGAGAAGCCCAUCACUCUCCUACAAACAUUGUUCAGUAAAAUUCAAGGACGAGGGAACAGAGACCAAGGUGAAAGGCUUGAGCACCUUUGACAAAAAUGCUUCAAGUGAUAGUCCUGUAAUUCCAUUCUCACCUACAACAUUCUCAUCUGCAGCAUCCUUGUAGGGAGGUCCGGUCCAGGGACUGAAAUUAAAAAUCAUAAAAUAUCAAUAUGGCUAGAGUCCUCACUGACAUCAAGAUUCAGGAAAGGCAAACACGUAAAAAAAUUCCAUAUUAAGACUUUGUAAAAAAAAUUAAGAAGCAAAGUUAAAAGUAAAUACCAAAUCCUUUAGCAUGUGUGUGUUUGAAAAAUUAAUUACACAACGUAGGAAAUAUUCCACAUCAAACUGCCCCAUUACCAAAGUAAGAAUUCAAACUAAUCCACCAUGAAAUGGUGGAUAAUAAAGUAAACAAAAAGUGUAGCAAAAAAUGUGAGAAAGCAAUCUACCUUUCUGGGGCAGUAAAAAACAAUUCUUCAAGUUCUUCAGGUUGCAAAAUCCCAUUCUGGAGUAAUGAAAACUCAACUUGUAUAUCACAAUAAAGCCGGAAAAAGUCUGAAAAUCGCUAACGGGAUGCAUAAAAGAGUGAAAAUAUUCAAGAUUGUUUGAGCGAAAGACCUACACAAUCGACAUCAAAUUCAACAAAUACUUUCUUCAAGAAGGCUAAAGCUUCAUUUGUCAACUCGACACUCUGUACAAAUUAAAUCCAAUCUUUGAUUAGAAUAAAAUAAAAGUCCCAUGUUGUCAAAAAUACAGAACACAAUACAAACAAGGCCACAAUUUGUAUAAAAAAAAACCUGAUCGGGAGCACGUGUCAGAGGCGGAAUUAGAUGAUCAGCAAGUCUGAUAUCAUCCAUAUACCCAAACUUUCUUAGCAUAGCCCACGGUACCUCCCGGUGCCAUAUUUUCUUGAAAUCAGCGUGUAAAGAUUGAAAUCCUGCUAAAGUAAGUCCAUGUUCAUUGACACCUUCAGGAUAUUUUUUCCUUAAAUACUUCACUAGAAGCUGAAUUGCAGAUUGUGGCACCGGACCUAUGAAAUAUUUAGCCUGUAGAUAACUUUGUUAGAUGUUUCACAAACCAAAUACAAGUUAACCUGCAAUAAAAUAAGUUUAUAAUCAAGCUAUGUUUAAUAUGAGAAGGAAGAAGUAAAACCUGAAAAUCAUUAAAUUCAGCAUUGUUAAGUGAGCUAUCUCUGUUACGGUCGCUUAGGAUGAAAAUCCGCUUUAAAGCCCGGGCAAAUCGAGGUUUGAGAGUGUUAGAAUUUCGAAAAUAUAAAGGCUCCAGUGGAUAAAGAACCGACUUUUGGGCAAAGCUGAAAACAUCAAGAACCUUCAAAAAGAAAAUUAAAUUAAUAUUGUAUGAAAUAAAUUGAGAUAUAUUUGAAAACAAGGAAUCAAAUUGAAAUAAUAUGAAUGAAAGAUACCUUCAAAUUCAUAGAUGCUGAACACCCAAUGCUAAUUUCAAUCUCUGGGAACUGUUGCAUUACUGGUUGCAUCGCCUCUUCUAUGCCUGCCUUCUGAUUUUCAUGUUGUAGCUUACAAGCAGCAACUAUAACUGGAACUUUUACCUGUGUAAUUAAGUUAAAAUAUCUAUAUCAUGGAUACAUUCUCUGAAAAUGGAAAUACAUGUGUAUUAUGUGAACCUGAUUAAACUGUACAAUAAACCAAGAGAGAACGGAACCCACCCCCAAAUCGCGAAGACGAGGGAGCCAAAAUGCAGUCAGACUUUCAAGUGUGGCUUGGCGAUCACAUGCAUAGGUGAGGAUGAUUACGUCAGCAGCCAAUAGUUCUUCAUCAACUUUAUCACUGUCCUCAGGACUACAACAACAAUAACAACAACAAGAUGAAGUGAAAUUCCUUAGACAUUCAGAUUAGGGUAAACAUUCAAAUUUGUAACUUAUAGCUAGCACAAGAGCUUAUGAAAAGCGAUGAACAGUUUUAGCAUAAAUAUGUAAAAUCCUCCCUCGCUUAGAGUUACAAUUACAAUUAAACAGCAAGGAAUCGUUACCGGGAAGAGGUGUCGAUGAUUGUGAAUGGCACCCCGUCGGGAGACAUGCUUUUAGGCAGGAUGGUGGGAGUCAAUACCGGCGGAACAUCCUUGACAGAGUUUCCGGCAGCGAAAGUAGCGAUUAGACUGGACUUGCCAGUUCCAUCGUCUCCAGCGACAACAAUGCGAAUUCCAGUAAGAACGUGUGGGGAAACUGUUCCAUCGAUACAGCAAUCGCAAGCAGAACAAAAAUUUAAAAUCCAAGUUUGUUUGUGCUAGAACGAGUAAAUAUAUUAUAACCUGAACCCUAACCAAGUGUGUGCUAAAUAGUUUCUGUUUCUUUUUCAAUAAGUAAAUAGAACUUUUGUUUUAGCUUUUGAGAAUUUUAUGCAAAUAUUGCGAGCAAAAAUAAAUAUGGAAAUAUUUUUUAUUUUUUUAGCAAAUAGUUUAGUGUUAAAAUUCGUCUUUUACUAAUUUUUUAAAACAAAUUCGUACUAAGUACGGACUGGACAUCGAGGUGCGGGCCUAAGUGAAUUUAAAAUCCAAGUUUGUGUAAUUAAACGAACGAGUAUUAUAGUGCUAAAUGAUUUUCGUUUCUUUUUUAAUCUUAACCGAAAUUAUAUAUUUUAUUUUAUAUAACUUUUUUUCCGUUCAAUUAUACCUUAAAACAAAUUUUGUCAAUGUUAUAUCUAUAUCUAUACUUACUUUUUUCUAUACUUACUAUAUAUAAUAAAAAAAACUACCUCUUUCAGCAUUUUUGAUUUGAUUUUUCUUUUCAAAAAUACCCUUAAUUUUCAAUACAAAUAACACAUGUAACAACUAGAUAAGAAUAAAUUUAAAUAUUUUAAAAAAUGUAACAAACACGAUAUGAAUAUAUAUAUAUAUGUUUUUUUUUGUCAUUUAUCAUUUAAAAAGUAUAACAAACUAGAUGAGUAUGUUCUCGUGAGUUUAACUCAGCUGGUAUGGACAAUGCAUAGUAUAUGCAAGGUAUGGGGCUCAAAUCCCGACCACCACAAAAAAAAAAAUAUAUGCAAGAUAAAUAUAGUUUGUUACCCAUAUGAAACUGAAAAAAUAUUUAUACUUAUAAAUUAUAAUUUUAAUCAAAUUUCAUUGAAACUAUUGUUCGUAAUUUAUACAUAUUACUCCAGCAAUAAGAAAGGACAUACGAAACACUAGUGAUUUUUUUUUUUUUUUAAGUUUUGACAAUUUUAUGCAAAUAUUGUCAAGAAAAAAAAAAUAUAGAAGUAAUUUUUAGAUUUAACCUUUGAGAUUAUGAAAGUCCAGAUAUAUAAUAUGAAUGUGGAUACGAUACACUAUGGAUACACGAAUAGACAAAAUUUAUAAAACUUAGGAUACGAUAUAGCUAAGAUACUUUAACAAAAAAUUUAUACUAUAAAACUUAUAUACUUGAAGGAAAAAAAACAUUGAUUACUCUUCAUCAUUAUAUAAUCAUAAAAGUCACAAUUUGCUCUCUCUUUGUGUGUGUGUGUGUGUGUGUAUAUAUAUAUAUAUCAUUGCCUUCAUCCACAAAAAAAAAAAAAAAAAAAAAAUUAAUCGGUUAAUCGAAAAACAUUUAUAAUCAUAUACAACUCCAUUGAAAUUUCACAAUAUAAUCUCACUUUUUUUCUUUCUAGAAUACGUAUGUGUUAAAGUAUUUUAUAAAUAUAUGUGUGUCUGUCGAAUAUCAUAUAAGUAUCCAAUAAAAUAUAUAUUUUACAUUAAAAUAAUUAAUUAUGAUAAUCCAUAAAUGCAUAUACACGAGUAUCUGCGAAGUAUAGAUAUUUGAUAUGUAUAUGAUAUCGAUACGAAUAUGUCUCCAUAUUUAAAGUGUCAAAGCUUCUAGGAUACUAUUUUUUUCAAUUAUCUACUUCUCUUACACAAAUGUUGGAAGAAUAUAAUUGACAUGUAAUGUCUUGGACAAAACUGAUUAGAUUGACAUGUAACAGAAUUGAUUCAGCAUAAAACAUACCCUUAUGCUGAUUCAAAUAUUAGAAUUGUAACAAAAAUAAAGAAAAGACAUAGUCCGCAACGACUCCAUGAUUUUCGGCCUAUCUCUUUAGUGGGAUGUUUGUAUAAGGUGUUAGUUAAAGUUUUCGCUAAUCGUCUCCGUUUAGUAGUGGGUAAUGUGGUGUCAGAGUCACAGUCGGCUUUUAUUCAGGGGAAACAGAUUUUUGACGGUAUUUUGAUAGCUAAUGAAGUGGUAGAUGAAGCUAAACGGAUGAACAAAGAAUUUUUGUUGUUUAAAGUUGACUUCGAAAAGGCGUAUGAUUUAGUCGAUCUGAGGUAUCUGGACAUGGUAAUAUAGAAUAUGAAUUUUCCGAGACUCUGGCGGAAGUGGAUUUAUGAAUGUGUCGGGACAGCAACAACAUCAGUUUUGAUAAAUAGUAGUCCGACGAAUGAGUUUCCUAAAAGGAUAUAUGGGGAAACAGUUGUCAUGGAUAUGGCAAUCGCAAUAUCAAAGGAGACUAUGUUGGACUGAAUUACGUCGGAGUUACGAGAACGAGUUAAGUAUAUAGUAUGAAUAUGAAACCUGAACGCUGACCAAGUGCUUUUUUAUUUUUUGAAAGGCCUAACCAAAUGUGUCUUAAAUAAAUAGUUUUUGUUUCUUAGAAUAAGAAAUAGCUUUUGUGUUAGGUUUUGAGAACUUUAUGCAAAUAUUGUCAACAAAAAUAUGGAAAUAUUUUUAAUUAAGAUGCAUAAUAUAUUUAAGGGUUAAAUAAGUAAAUAGUCGUUCUAAAUAUACCAACAUUUGAUUUUAGUCCUCAUAAAAUAUAUUUUAGGCUUUUGGUCCAUCUAAAAUUUUUCAUUUAUGAAAUUAGUCUCUACUCUAGUGUAAUACUCAAUGUAGAGCAGUGACUAAUUUCAUAAAUGAAAAAUUUUAGAGGGACCGAAAACCUAAAAAAUAUUUUAUAGAGACUAAAAUCAAAUGUUGGUAUAUUUAGGGAGACUAUUUACUUAUUUAACCCUAUAUAUUUAAUAAUUGCACUAAUGUCAUGAGCUGGAAGCUAGGAUUUGAAUUUUUGUAAUGAUAUGGUUAUUGAAAAAAAUAUAUACACCCUCCGGUCACUAUUAUAAGCAAAAUUCCACUUUUUAGAUUCAUUCAAUAAAUGAUGUAUGUGGUCUAUUUAAUGGACCACAUACAUCAUUUAUUGAAUGAAUCUAAAAAAUAGAUUUUUGCUUAUAAUAGUGACCGGAGGGUGUAUUUGAUAGCUCAGCUAGUGUAUGUCGUGCUAGUAAUUUGUCUAUUUUUUUGAAUGAUUGCAAAUUAUUGCGUGUUUCUCAAAUCCAAACCCCCUUUUUUAGAGCAAUGAUAUUUGUACAUCCAUUUAAUGACAACUUUGUUUUCCUCUCUUUUGAUUGGUCAAAAACAAUGAAGAGAGAAAAAGGAAGAGAGAGAGGAUAAUAACAUCAUGUGAGUAUGAGAGAAAAAGUUGUCAAAAAAUUGUAGUAAAAUGGUUGUACAAAUAUCAUUUCUCUUUUUUUUAACGUAAAAUGAAUUAUAUUAACAAUACAAAGUGUUUCUCGUAUCACAAGAUGUAUUAAAGAGAAACACCAGAGUCUUACAAAAAGAAAGAGUGUUGUUAGCCAGCCCUCAAAUCCAACCCUUAAUCACCAAUCAUAGAUGACACAGGGACAUGUCGAUUAACAUUCUUCGACAAAAACUAACGAGUUGGACAAAUUUGGCAGAAAGAAGUAACGUUAAGGGACCAAAACGUAUAACAAAUAUUAAUUAUAUAACCAAAAUGAAACUAAUAAAUAAGUUAAGGGACAACGGCGAAGCUAGUAAAAAGUUUACGUAGAGGCCAGCUAUAAUUUUUUUUUGAACCAGUAUAUUAAAUUUAAAGAUAAAGUAUGUUUUUUGUCUCAUAGAUUAUACUUUUUAAAGUUUAGUCCUUAUAGACAUUUUAUGCAAUUUUUUAAAAUUUCACAAAAAAAAAUGUUUUAGUCUUGCAUUUAAUUUCUAUAACCAAAAAUUAAACAAAUUUUAUGAACUUAACUCAAAAAUCACAAGUAUUGUAGAGACUAAAAACAAAUGUAACUUGUAAAUUAACCAAUACAAGACAAAAAUCACAAUGAUUUUUACUUAAAUGAAAUGUAAAUUAAAGCAAUAACAAAGGAUAAAAAUUGACAAUAGUUAUUAGAAAAGUUGGACAAAAUGUAUUUCAAGAAAUCAAUUUUUUCCAUAAUUGAGCGAUUAUAGAUUAAUAAUGUAUUUUUCAAUGUAAACUAAUAGGUUAUUUGCAAUAAACUCAUUGUCCAUUUAAUUUAUUUAUGAAUAUUGUCUUGAUAAUUUUUAUUGUUGAAAAAGUUUUAUCUAUAAUUGUUAUUGAAACUGAAAGUAUCAAACCAAUAUAAUAAAAUCUAUCAAUCAUGUAGUAAUAUUUUUACUUUCUUAUUUAUCCUAAUUUUAGACAACUGAACUUGUUUGAGGUAGCUCAAUGUUUAUUAUUUGGGAUAGCUGGAUAAAAAUACUUACCGACCGAUUGAAGAAUAAUUUUUUUUUUGGGUAGCCAAAGCUCCUCCAACAUGCAAGGAACCGCCCCUGUUAAGGGACCAUAGUUAAGGGACCAAAUAAAUUAAUUUGCUAAAAAAAAUUAUUGACAAAAAUUAACUUGGUAAUAUUUUAAACAAUUAGAGCAUCCACAACAUAACACCUAAUUUUAAGUGUUCAAAUGGGUCCUCUAUGUCCACCUCACCUAUUUCAUUGUAGUACUAAAUAAACAUCAAUUUUCUCCAACCCAACUCUUUAAAAAAAUUACUAAACAAAAUCCAUUAAUAAUUUUAUAUUUCAACAAAAUUUAUUUAUUGUACUAGGAUUUAUUAAUAGAGUCCUAAAAAAAAUGAAGAAAUGGGUACUUCCGUAGCCAUCAUUUUCCUGUUUUGAAUACUCUCCAUUGACUUUUUUUUUUAAAAAAAUUCUUAAGUGAAAUCUCAACCAUCAAACAUGAGAGAGAAUAAGAGUUAAAUUAUAAAAAAAAAACGAUUGAUUUGUUUUAAUAGUGGAGAUUGAAAAUGGAGGAAAGUUGAGAAAAAUUCAAUUGAGAAAAUCCAAAUAUCCAUUCUCUCCCUAGGUACCCGAGUUCUCUACAUCAAAAUGAGAGUGUAUAAUAAUUAAUAUUAUGCUAAAAUGGUGGAAUGUCCAGCAUUGUGAAUGACCUUAUAUUCAUAAUAACAUGGAUUGGAUAAGAUAUGCGAUUGCUUCUGAAUUAUAACAGACGUGUAACACUACCCAUUAUUUUUUGUCAAAUAAUAUUGUGGCUAAAAUUCUAUCUUUAUAGUAGCAUGUGUUGGAUUGAAGAUUUAAGAGAGAAAAAAAGUAACUAAAGAAAGUGCGAUUGAAAGAGAGAGAAUAACUAAAAAAAGUGUGAUUAUUUAUCAUGUUAUUUGUAUUUUUUUAAAACAUUUUAUAAGGUUUGUAAUUUAAAAAUAAAAAAUAAACACUCAUCUCCUAAACCAUACAUCUAAACACACAAUUAAAGUGAAUAAGUAAAAAUUCAAAAUUCAAGUUUCGAACUUCAAUCUUUGCCUAUAUAAUGUAAUAUUUCUACCAAUAUUCACUAUAAGACACUGCCCAUGUUUUACUCUAAAUUAUAUUAUAAUGAAAAUACUAACAAGUGUAUUGCAUUUAAUGUAUUUGUUAAAAAAUUAAAUAUAGCAAAAAUAUAAUUUGUGUAAUCAACUUUUUAAAAGUGUUUAGGUCUUCCUAAAAAAAAAGUGUAAAGGUAGUUUUUUUAAGGGUUAAAUAUGUUUUAAGUCCCUACAUUUUGCGUGAUUUUCAAGAAUAGUCCUUAUAUUUCAAUAAAUGUUUUUAAAAUCCCUACAUUUUUACUCCGUUAGUACAAUUGGUCCUUACCGUCUAUUUUCAAUGACUAGGCUAACGGAAGAUGCCACCUAGACGCCACUAGGAUGCCACAUGGCCUCAUUAAUGAUAUGUCAUGCCACAUUUUAAAAUCCCAAUUUAACUUGUCAAAAAAAGAAAAUCCUAAUUUAAAUUAUCAAUUAAAAUCUUAAUAUUUUUUAUUUAUCAACCACACUUAAACAAUCAAAAAUAAAAACAAUCCCUUUUCUUCUCGUUCUUGUUCCAGGAUUUCUCUACAAACACCACACCACCCAGCAUCAUCGUCAUCUUCAUCUCUCUUCCAUUAUUUUUUUUCUUCAGUUUUUCAAAAAUUAGAGAUUUGAAAUUCCUUCUUCAUCACGGAACAACCUCUUGACUUCAUUCCCUUUUUCACUCUUGUCACUGUAAGCGUGAUCGAAACUCCCAUCCUCUGCGUCUUCAACCCUUACGAUGUCGAUGUCGCAGCUAUCACGACUUCACCAUACCGUCGCCGUCGUUGAUGGUCAGAUCCGACACCAUUGCUAUAGCAAACACCCAAAACAAAGUUGAUGAUUUUUUAGAUCUAGCUUUGUCUGAUUUUGUUUGUUGAGGUUACGACGGCUACAAUGGAGAUUCUUACAUGUUGCAGUUGAUUUAGAUUAGAUUUAAGGAAUCUGUUGGUACUACGUUUGAAGUUUUUUGUAAGAUCUUACUAUUGUUGUAAAUUGCAUUGAAUGAUGCCUUCAGACAUUGUUCAAUCAACAAAUUUUAUCCAGUAAAAAUUUUAGCUAUGAGUCUUAGGAAUCAUUUGCGUUACAUUGGGAUUCCGUGCUUAAAACUUGUGGUUGAUUUCUUUUACAGUUAAAUUGGAUUUUAUUUUUAGACAUGGUUUGUUUUGUUGGUGUACUGUUGGUUCUCUUGUUGAUGCUAUGUUUUGUUGAUAUUUGAGGGGAAGGUUUCAAUCUAUAAUGAUGAAGAUGGUGGUGGGAAUUAAGUUAUUUUUGGUAGAAUGAAUUUCUGAAAUUAGGCUUGGGAUGCAACAUGAUAAUUUUUUUUUUUAAGGAAAAAUGUUUUUUUAUUAAUAAUAACUGAAAUUUUAAUUAAUUUAAUUAUAAUAUUUAUACCGAUGACACCUGUGUCCACACAAGAUGCCACUCAAAAAAUACGGGGCCCACAAUAUGCCACAUCAACAUUUUGUUAGCCUAGUCAUCGAAAAUAGACGGUAAGGACAAAUUGUACUAACAAAAUAAAAAUGUAGGGAUUUUAAAAAUAUUUAUUAAAAUGUAGGGAUUAUUCUUCAAAGUCACGCAAAAUAUAGGGAUUAAAAACAUAUUUAACCCUUUUUUUAAUACAAAAUUCACUGUUUAUUUAUUAUAAAAAGCUUUUUAUUUUUAUUUUUGUGAUCUUGUAAAAAGGCCGUAUGUAAUGUAUGGCGAGGGUGGUUAGUUGAUAGAGAGUGACGCGGAACACAAAAAAGGAAAGGGAAAGUUGCAUAAGUCAUGAGGCGCAAUAAAAGAUCCAUUGAGAGGUUCUAUUCUAUAUUUCACAUCUACAGUUCCCACUUUUGUGUACACUAAACAAACAGAUAGAAAGCAUCGAUUGGGCGCGCGCGUAAAGUACAUAACCACCGCAGUUUCAUGUAUAAAUAAAUAAUACCCGCCUACCUCAUUCAGAAAAUGGCAUUCCUUCGUAAUACUAUUUCUCGUUCCCUUCUUCAUUCUCCUCUAUCGCAGGCCAUUCUUCUCCCUUCAUCUUCUGCACUUCAACAAGGUCUUUUUCUAUUCAUCAUUUCUUUUUUAUAUUAUUUUAUUGCAUUCUACCUGUUUGUUUAUUUUCUUCUGUGAAUAACUCGUUUCUAGAUUUUGCGGGGAAUCACUCAACUUAUUACUGUUUCAUUUUAGGGAUUUCUGGAAGCUCUCGAAGCUAUGGCAGUUAUGAAUCUUCUGACAAAUGUAUCUUGGAGGAUGAAGAGAUAGCAAGACUUCGUAACCAAUUCGAAUCUGCUAAACACAGUUUUCUCAACAUUCCUGAUGCACUCAAAGAAAUGCCUAAAAUGAAUCCUAAAGGUUACUCAAUUGCUUCGGCGUGUUAUUUUCUAUUCAAUUAAAUUGAAUGAGUGUUUGCAUGCAUGCUUUGUUCUAUUGUUUGUGAAUGUUGAUGUAUUUUCUUCUAUCUGUGUAUUGAAUUAGGCAUUUAUGUGAAUAAGAACUUGAGAUUAGACAGAUUGCAAGUCUAUGGUUUCGAUUACGAUUACACAUUAGCACAUUACUCCGAUCAUUUGCAGACUUUGAUAUAUGACCUUGCCAAGGAGUAUAUGGUUAACGAGGUUAGCUUCGACUAACUCACUCUUGCGGUUUCUUUUUCUUUUUCUUUCAAUUUUUCGUUUCUAUCCUUACUCUUCUUGUUGCUUUUUUCAGCUUAGGUAUCCAGACAUUUGCAUGAGUUUUAAAUAUGAUCCAUCUUUCCCUAUUAGAGGUCUAUACUAUGAUAAGUCAAGAGGAUGCCUCAUGAAGCUGGAUUUCUUUGGUUCAAUUGAGCCUGAUGGAUGCUACUUUGGUAGACGCAGGGUAUUGGACAUUUCUUCCUUUAUUUAUUUGCAGCAUUAUUUUGGCUUAUGUUGUCACCUUGAUUUUGUUUUUAACCUUUUUAUGUAUUGUGUCCUGUAUUGGAGUCUUAAACAUUGCAUGAUUAGGAUAAUUUAUUUCACAAGCUUCCAUAAGCAUAGUUUGUAUUUUGCAGCAAAAAUGAAAUAUGUCAAAUGAUUUUUGCUAAAAUUCAUCCCUUCCAAAUUUUACAGCUGAGCCAAAGUGAAAUAAUUGAGGCAUAUGGUACGCGACACAUUGGUCGUGAUCAAGCUCGAUCACUGGUUGGUUUGAUGGAUUUCUUCUGCUUUAGUGAGGUAUGUUCCUUGUCAUUCUAAUAAUUAGUCUAAUAAUAAUUGUCUAGUACAUGACUAGAGCACUUUUGGUAGUGUUGACUAUUGAAGCUUUGCCUCGGUAACAGCGAGUCUUGUACUUAUCUUCACAUGUCACAGAAGCUUAUGUUAGAUAACCAAGUAUCAGAGGAAAAUUAAGCAUGCUAGGCUGGUCUCCUUUUCUUUAAUUAUAGUUAUAUUAUAUUAUGUGUAACAGUCGUGUGUUUUAUGUAUUGUAAUAACUAUGGAAAUUAUGGAAGGCGUGGGGGAUGGCGGGGGGCUCUCGAAUCUUAGCAGGAAAACAUCCUUGUAUCUACAUUAUCCUUAUUCUCUGAAACUUGGGCCGGGUUCGCCUGCUUUAACUGCUUCACGCAGAACGCGAUCUCGGCCGUUAGAAACUGAUCUUACGAUUCUGAUUUGUUCCUUACAGUUUGAACAAUGUCACAAAGUUUCAAUCUCAACCGUUAUUUUUUGAUCGGACGGUCGGCAGCGGUUACUGUGUUGAUGCAGUAACUGCGUGAAAUCCGUUUCCCUGAAACUUCCAUGAUGUAUUUGCAUGUGAUUCUUGAAAUAAACGUGCAGCCCUCUGUUUGGCAUACUGUCACAGGGAGUUUGUUUUCAUUCUAUCCUAUUUUUCCUAUCUCUUGAUUAUACUACAUUAGAUACCAGUCCUAAAAGAUUAUCAUUCUUCAGAGUACGUGCAUCAAAAAACUACAUAGACAAAUGAUUGACUUCCAUUGACACAGCAUCUUCAAAUUUCAACCAAAAAGGCUUCGCCUAAUCCCAAUCUCAACCGUUAUUUUUUGAUCGGACGGUCGGCAGCGGUUACUGUGUUGAUGCAGUAACUGCGUGAAAUCCGUUUCCCUGAAACUUCCAUGAUGUAUUUGCAUGUGAUUCUUGAAAUAAACGUGCAGCCCUCUGUUUGGCAUACUGUCACAGGGAGUUUGUUUUCAUUCUAUCCUAUUUUUCCUAUCUCUUGAUUAUACUACAUUAGAUACCAGUCCUAAAAGAUUAUCAUUCUUCAGAGUACGUGCAUCAAAAAACUAUAUAGACAAAUGAUUGACUUCCAUUGACACAACAUCAAAUUUCAACCAAAAAGGCUUCGCCUAAUCCCAAUACAUCAGAAGAAACGGGCAUAAGAUGUGGAGCACAAUUAGAUAUCUGUUUACUACUUUCUUGUAAGAGAUAAGGUAUAGCUCCGGGAAUCGUGAUUAUACCAUCUUAGUUAAUGAAGAGCAGUGCUUAUAUAUCGAAUGUAAAAUGAACAUAAAGUUAACUAGAAUUGGAUAAAACUUGUUCUUUUAAGGCCCAUGUAUAUGUGCUUAUUUUGAAGGAAAGAAAAGAAAAACUUAAAUGAUCCUAAAAACUAGUUACAACCGAUUAAACUAAGGAUCCAUAUUUUGAUCAAGCCUAUAUUAGAGGAACUUAGCGUUAAUCUCAGUUAAAACUAUGCUGCCAAUUUCAUUUUCCAACUCCAUUAUAGCCUAUCAACUUACGAAUUCUCUUUCUGCCAUAAAAUCUUAGAUCGAGGGCCAAUUGUUUACGGUUUUACUUUGUAGGCAUGCCUCCUUGCAGAUAUAGUGCAGUACUUCGUGGAUGCUAAGCUAGAAUUUGAUGCUUCCUACAUUUAUGAAGAUGUUAUUCGUGCAAUUGAUCAUGUCCACCGAAGUGGCCUGGUUCAUAGAGGAAUUCUCUCUGAUCCACAUAGGUACUUGGUGAAAAAUGUAAGUUCAAAACAUUUUACACAUUUUGAUUAUCUGUAAAUGAAUGUGUUCAACAUAUUCUGCAAUAAGUGGUAUACAACAUGCUCAAACAAUCUAUUUCAGGAUCUAGUAUCUUAAUUCAGUUUGAAUAUUAUAUUUUUGUAUCUAUCUAUUAUCAAGGUAGACAUUGUUUUGUUGUGUCAAAUUGUGUUAUUUUAUCCUUUGGUUGAGAGUUUGUAAUUGUUAUUUACCUGUCUGUGAAUAUUUCAGGGAAAGAUUUUAUGUUUUCUCAAGAUGCUAAAGGAGAAGGGAAAGAAGCUUUUUUUGUUGACAAAUUCUCCUUAUUACUUUGUUGAUGGUGGGAUGCGUUUUAUGUUAGAGGUAUUUGAUUGCAUGUAAUCAUAUCCACACUUUUGUAUGUAUCAUGGAAUGUUUUCUUUAGCCUUCACUGCAUCUGUUAGAGUUUAAUAACUUUUUCUUAACUUGGGAAGUAGUCUUCCACAGUCUUUGUAUUUGUGGCAUGUAAAUCAAUUUUGAGCCAGACAGAGCUCCAACUCUACUUUAGCUUUUAUCCUGUUUUAACUUUCAAAUUGUUCUUCAAAGAGUGCUAUAGAGUAUAUAUGGAAUACUGAAUGCAAUUAAUUAUAAAUAAUGAGGAAAUUUACAUCCAGAUGAUGGCAGGCUCUAACUAGAGAUUCUAUUAGACGUUGCUUUCAUUUUUCUAGCUGAUUACUUAGUGUGGACUGUUUCAUCUUAGCAACUAGUGUCUAGUAGAGAUGCAUAUCCAACAUUAUCAGAAAAUUCUGGAGAUUACAGACUUCAUGGUCUUGUUCUUUAUUGUAAGACAUGUAUCUAUAGACCUUAAACUCGUGCAGGCAUGCCUAGUUUCUUUAUAUGACUUGACUUAAAUUGUUUCACUUAUAAUUGUUAUCUGAUUUUGGAGUGAAUUUGUGCUUUCUUAGUAUUUUUCCUAUCGUUUUUUUAUCAACGAGGAGAUUAAAUUUCAUCAAAACAUAGCCUGAAAAAAUAUUUUAAAAGGGUGGGAUAGCUACAUUCUUGAGUUAUGUGAACUGCACUUCCUCAGAUGGUUAACACCGACACUUGGUUGUCAGGACCUAUGAAGCACCGACACUCCUAAGUUUAGGUGUGUCGACAUGUCCGACACACAUCUGACACCUUACCUGUACGACAUCCGGACGACACUUGUCAGAUGCCUCACACAAGUAUCCCCCAAAAAACUUUGUUCUUCCUUUCGACACACGUCCAGCACUAAUUGGACACUCCUCCAAAAAGCUAGAGAGAUGAAGACAUCUAUAUUUUGAUAAAAAAAGAAAGAAACAAAAAGUUAGGCAUUUGAAAAGUUUUCAUGUCUACCUUCGAAACGAUUUAAUUUUCUACUGUCUUCAUUUUUCUUUCCAAUUUUCCUCCUAUUUCAUUUGUUAUGGUCUUCAUCUUCAUUCUGUCUUGGUGGUCAUCAUGAUUCUCAAUUUAGAUAUUUGAUAAUCGAUACUCAUUUUAUGUAAUGUGUGUGUUUGUGUGUGUGUGUGUUAUUUUAUGUCAUAUUUAGGACGUAAGCAGUGUCAAUGUGUCGUGUCCAGUGUCCGUGUCAAUCUUCAUGCUUCAAAGGUCACGUCUCUUUUAAUUGUUUGGUUGGAAGUUCUGCACUUGGUUUUGAAUGUAAUUUUUAAUAUUUUGUUUUUGUUUUUCCCCUUUUGUAUCAGGUCAUUAUUUCCUUCAGUUUACUCUUUAAUGUUUUUUAUUUAUUAGGAUUCUCUGGACAGUAGUGACUCCUGGACAGAUCUGUUUGAUGUUGUGAUUGCCCAGGCCAAUAAACCGCAGUUUUAUACAUCUGAGCAUCCAUUCCGGUUUGUAGCCAAUACAUACCAUGUGAUAUGAUGCUUGUUUAUAUUUUGUAACAUAGUUCUUCUAUAAUUUAGAUCACAUCGUUCUUUACUCGUAUCCUUUAUCAUAAAUCUUAAAUUAUUUGGAAUGGUUCCGAUAUCAUUGGCUAUUCUGUGCAGUUUAUAUGAUACAGAGAAGGACAACUUAACUUUUACUAAGGUUGAUGAAUUUCUUCCAAAUAAAAUUUAUUAUCAUGGAUGCCUCAAAUCCUUUCUCCAAAUAACCAAGUGGAAAGGCCCAGAGGUAUGCUUUAUUUAAUGUUUUAUAAGCCAUACUUCACAAUAUUUCUUCUAUUUACUUCAAUUUGACAAUAUACGUUAAUUGCAAAGCAAAUGCAUAUUAUAGCAUUAAGUUUAUUUCAUACAGAGGCCACAGAAUGCUAAAAUUCACAUCUUCUAUUAGGUGAUAUAUUUUGGAGAUCACCUUUUUAGCGACUUGAGAGGGCCCUCAAAGGCAGGCUGGCGCACAGCUGCAAUCAUUCAUGAAUUAGAGGUAUGCAUGCUAUCUAAUCCAUUUAUAUGUAGAUUUUUUACAUUGCUAAUCAUUAUCUAUCAUAAGUCUGGUUCUUCUACAUGUUGAUGAGUAUCAUUAGUUAGCAUUCCUUCUUCACGAGUUUCAUAUAACUCUGGUAAACAUGCUAAUACUCUACUAUAACUUGUUUCCUGUCUGCAAGUAUAUGCCUAUAUUUAGACAUUUUACAUCGUCAACCCGAAGAAGGGUGAACUCAUUCAUGAUAUGUUAUAGCCAACUUUAUCUUUCAUUUGCUGGAACGUAAUCCCAUGACUUGAAGUUUUGAUGUCCUAGACACACGUAAUUGUUAAAAUGUCAAUAGGAAUCUUAAAGGUUAUGCAAUGGUAAGAUAGUUAUGUUUGGGAAUUUCAUUUAAGAAGUUAAAUUUUACUUGAUGAAUGUUUUCUUGAAGUUAAAGGGGGAGCCUUGGCGCAACGAUAAGUUGUUGUCAUGUGACUGAAAUGUCACGGAUUCAAGUCCUGGAAAACAGCCUCUUGUGUAAAAACAGGGUAAGGCUGCGUACAAUACACCAAAAUGGUGGGACCCCUUCCCCGGACCCUGCAUAUGCGGGAGCUUUAGUGCACCGGGCUGCCCUUUUUAAUGUUUCAUUGAGGUACUGAUGCGUGUAGAACUGUUGUCAUUGUCAACACCUGAAACAUUGACAUAUUAUUUCUUCAACAAUGCAGACUGAAAUACAGAAGCAAAAUGAAGAUACGUACCGCACUGAGCAGGUAUCCUUAUAGAUUGUCCUUGCUAAAAUUAUUUCCUCGCAAUUCUAAACUUGCACAUUUACUUUGAUGAUUUUUUGUUACUUUUGGUAACAAUAAGUUUAUGGGAAUUGAUGUUAUUUAUUUUGCAUAAGAAGUUUAUUAAUUAGCAGAACACUAUUAUUUUCUCGGAGUAAAUUGAGCAUCUAGUUGUUUAAUGCCUUUUCUUAGAGCACCGAGACACAAGUUAUUGUUUUUCUUGUACAAGUUAUGGCGUGAAUAGUGAUAUGUUACGAUUUAUAAUCCCGUUUUAAACAUUAAAUAAUGUUAUACAUGGGUAAUAUAUAUUGAAAAGUUGACAUGUGAGUUGUAAAUGGGGGUGUGUGUGUCUAUGGGCCCGUUUGUUACGGAUUAAAAUAAAAGUGAUUUUGACAUAAAAUAAUUUAGAGAUUAUAAUUUACAGAUUUUAUGAAAAAUCAGAAUCUAUUUUGCGUUUUUUUACCGUACUAAAAAUCACUUUUUAAAAUAAAUAAUCUAGUUUGUUUGGAUACAACUAUAUAAAAGGGAUUUUUUGUUACAAAAUUAGUUCAAUCUUUUAAACCAUAUUUUCUCUCUCCUCUAAAAAAAAUCUAUUUUUUGAGAAGCUGCUCUUAACCGCUUCUCAUUUGAAGCUGUUUUUAGAUUUUUUGUAGAUUCUGAUUUUUUUUAAAAGUUGUAACAAACGGAUGCAAAACUCUUAAAAGUGAUUAUUUUUUUUUUAAAAAGUAAUUUUUUUUUUCUUAAAAAAGCUAUAGCAAAUGGGCUCUCUCUCUCUCUCUCUAUAUGUAUAUAUAUAUAUAUAUAUAUAUAUAUAUAUCUAAUUUACAGUUUUGUCAUAAAAAAAAUUGGAUUUAAUGUUGUUAAAAAAUGGUAUAAAUGAACAAUUUAUAUAGUUAUUAUAGAUAGAAAGUUCCUUAUUCUUUAUUUUAGGCUUAUAAUUAACACUUUAGCAGUGUAAUUACUUUUGGAGAGAUAUCUUGAAGCCGUCACAUUUUAUGACUUAUAUCCUGUUCAACAAUGCAGGCAAAGUUUCAUAUAAUACAGGAGCUACUUGGUAAGUUGCAUGCAACUGCAGCUAAUAGUGUGAGAACUGUAGCUUGCAAAUCACUUCUGGAAGAACUUAAUGAGGAAAGACAAAAAGCACGGAUCAAGAUGAAGAUGAUGUUUAACGAAUCUUUUGGAGCAACAUUCCUCACUAGCACAGGACAAGAAUCUGCUUUUGCUUAUAACAUUCAUCAGUAUGCAGAUGUUUAUACCAGUAAGCCGGAGAAUUUUCUUCUUCAUUCACCUGAAGCGUGGCUUCAUGUUCCAUUUGAUGUCAAGAUUAUGCCUCAUCAUGUGAAGGUAGUGCAUUUCUUCUUUAUGAAUGUUAUUUAUGUCACUAAAUCUCACAUGUUUUUUUCUUCAAGAACUGAAUGAAAAUCCACCUGUUAUCCCAUGCUUCCUGAUUUUGAGUUAACUGUAUGUAAAAUUCAGCUUCCCUUCUUGAGAAUCAUGAAUUGGUGGUGUAUAGAAUUGUCUCUUAACAAAAUACAUUCCCUCUGAUUUCGUAUUGACUUGAUAUAGUUAUGAAUGUUGUAAAAUGAACGUAUAUUGCUAAGUUAUUUCAAUUAAUUUAAAUUUAAUUAACUUUCACACCACGUAUUUUAGCUUCUUUCAAGACAAACUAUGUACCACUUGGCGACUGAGAUCUGCCAACUUAUUGAUUCGGUUUCAGGGUUUACAAAUACUAGCUGCCAUUUUGCAGUAGGGUGAAAGUUAUUGUCUUCUGAAGACGAAAAGGAUUUGUUAGUCACUCGUGUGCGAGAGGGAAUUCUAUAAUUUUAGAUAGUUUGAUUGAUACCUCUGGUUUGACAGUUUGCAGGGUAUUUUUCUUUUGUAUGCUGUACAUGAAAAAUGUUACUUAUUUCCUCCUUCCUCCUGUGUUUUCUCUUUUUAAAUCAUUGGCUGAUUAUCCACUUUUUCUUUUCUUUCAGAUUCCAUCAAGUUUGUUCAAAACUGGAUGAAUACCACUCUAAAUUGCUUCAAACUUUUACUGUCAUUCUGCAGUUCUAACUUCUAAUGGAACAAUCAGUCAAAAAAACUUAUAAUGGGACAAUGAUGCCGGCGAUUUGAAUGUGCAUUUCAUUGUCUGAGGUGCAACUGGAAGACACUUGUUGCCGCUGUAACAUUCAGUCAAUUUUCAAGUUUUCUUGAUUACCCCACUUCAUCUUGCUGUUGCUAACAUAGUCUCUUAUGUUUCACAUGAAAUCAGGAAAGUGAAACCCCUAUACAUAGAAAAGUAUAUAUUUCUUCAUAUCAUCAACGACUCAGAAGUUUAAGCACUUCUUUUUUGAGAUCACAGAAAGAUUCCAUUUUUCAGAAGAAAUAAAGAAUUCGUUAUUGAGAUUUUGAAUGUAUAAGAGAUUUAGAAAGUACUUUAUUAGAGAUUCAAAUCUAUGUUAUUAAUUUUGUAAUGACCGUUAAUCCAGCAAAGGCAUGCUGGUUAUCAACGUCAACAUGUAGUUGUGUGAGAAAUGAUCUUGGCCGGUUUAUUCAAGCAAGGAUUGAGUGGAGCAUUAUUUACUUGUCUGUUGAGUAAGUAGAGGUUUGGCUCUACAUUGGUGCAUUGAUCUUAAAUUACGGAUAUUGUCAUUUUUUUGCAUACCAUGUAAUUCUAUUUUUUUUCUUCUUUCAAAACAAAAUGUAAUUCUAUUUUUGCCACCUCACUUAUAUAAUCUAAACGGUCAUAAAAUAUACAAACAAAAUUCUCAACAUCUAUUAUUUGUCUUUCUUCCUCUAUUUUUUUUGGUGAGAAAAAGGGGCUAAGCUCAAAAAAAAAAAAAAAAAAACAUCUCUAGGCAACGAAAUACAAGUAGCAUAUGCCAAUGAAGUCAUUAGAAAUAAAAGCACGAAAAAAUUCAAACAAGUUAGUAGCCAGCCAUUACCUUUUUGAGAUCCAAAAUCCAUUCACUUCUUUUAAGUAUGGCUCCGUUUGUCUUAUAUUUUUUAUUAAGAAAAAUCACUUUUGUCAUUUUUAAGAGUUUUUGUUUAGGAUUUAAAAAAAAAUCUAUUUUCACUCUAAAAUGAAAAGCUAUAAGGAUUAGCUUUUUUCAAAAUCUAUUUUUUUUCAAACAUUAUGAGGUAAGACAUGAACUAGUUAAAAAACAUUUUUUUAAAAAAAGUUAUUUUUUUGCAUAGUAAACAAACACAAAUAACUUCAAAGUUUUUUUAAAAUGUUAGGAUGAAUGUGUAAACUGUCUUUACAAUGUUAGUGCACUCUAAUUACACUCUAGAACUCACACACACAAAUGUUAAAAACUUAAUAUAAUUCAUAUAAACAAUGAAAUGAUGUUUUUUUUUCUCAUGAGAUGGUGUUUUCUAAAAUAUAAAUAAUGACAAAUAACAACUUAUUUAAUAAAAUGAUCAUUAAUUUAUAAAUUUAUGAAGCAGAGUAUCGGUACACCUCAAUUUGUGAGGUGUACCGUAGAAGCUCCCUGUAUGUGUGUGUAUGUGUGUGUGUAUUAUAUAUAUAUAUAUAUAUAACCACUUUUUUUUAUCGAAUUGAUAUCUACAACCUCAAACAUAUUCACAACCUUUAACAUGUUUCUACUACGAUUGAUUAUUGAUGUAUAUGCAACAACGAUCAUAGCAAUCUUCAACAACCAUCACUAACUUACUUCGUUAUCAAUUUAGAGAGUUGUAAUAUGUGCGAACAAAUAUGCAUCCUUUUGUUAUGUUCUUCGCCAAUAACCAUGCAAUACGUGGGUCUAGUAUAAAAUAUUAGAAAGAUAAAUAUAUACUUAUUUUUGAGAAAUUAUGAAUGUGGAAACAAAUAAAAAUAAACCAGUUUGUACGGGAAUAAGAUUAAAAUAAACUAGCUGCAAUGCAAGAAUUGCACACAUCGUGAAGUGGUCUACCAAGGAAAAUUGUCUCAGACCAAAGUACAGAUGAGGAAUAUAUAAAGAAAAAUUCAAAUUUGAAGAGAAAUCAUUGGUGUAACUAAUGCUAUAAUGAAGUAAAGGAUGAGAAUAGUACAAAUCUAUCUCAAAGAAAAUUUGAAAUCAUUGGUAGAUAAAAUGUAUUAACCAUCAACAAGUGUCGUAAAAAUAUUAUUAAUAAACCAUAUUAAUCAUUAUAAGGGAACUGAUAUGCUUUAGGAUCAUGAAACCGUUGCCUUAAAAUAUCUCCACCUAAAAUAAGUCAUUCAGUAUGAGUUAUUUUUCUUAUAUUCCCUUCAUUUGAUCUAUCAUCACUCACUAGAAUUCCAACAAAGUAAAUCAUAAAAUCAAAACUCAAAUAAAAAUGAAAGAGAUAUAAAUCUCAAUUAAAGAAAUGAUUUUUUUUUUUGUUGUUGGAGGAAAUACAAAAAGAAUGUGUGCCUAAUCUCAAGAUAAAAUUACACAAAAACAAAUGCAAUUGUUAAUGAGCAACAACUUCUGCAUGCUAAGAAUAGUUACCAUUUGUAAUCUCUUCUCAUUGCUUCAAUUCUUCCAAGGAUUCCCUUAACAGCUACAUCAAACGCAUCUUCAAGUGUUUCUAAUCUAGAACUUGGAUAACGAUACACAAUUCUUGGAAUUAGACUUAUAACCUCAUUUCUCAUAGCAAACACUUCCCUUUUUGAAAAAUUAAGCAAUGUCUCAUUGAUCAUUACCUUCUUCUCUUUGACAUCAAUUUCAUGUAGGAACACAGAGUAGUUGGAACUAUUUGUAGGAAAAUGCCACACAUAUUGCUUGUAUGUUGAUUUUGGAUGAAAGAAAACAGGAAUACAACCCGCCAAAAUCGAAUCAAAAGUUGAUCUCCUUGUGUAAGAAUCCCCCGGCGGUUGUAAACAAAAAACUGAAUUCCUAAAAACAUCCAUAACAUGAACAGGAUCGCCACAACGAUCUUUGUUAUAACCAUAAUAGCAUCCAACAAGUUUGCAACCCUUGGAAGAUUCGCAAUGUUCGAUUAACUCAUUCCUAAUAGAAGAUGUUACAUUAGGCCUUGGAGCACCAACAAAUGAAAACAAAUAUUUCCUUUUCAUUUUUCUCAUUUUUCUUUGCCACCCAAAAAUUUGAGCAUCAUUAGUAGGAUGAAAAUAAGUUGGAUAUGGAAUUGAAAAUUCAUUAUCAUAACCACAUGAUUCUAUUGAUAACAUCGACAUGUUACUUGCUUCCGGUAAAAACAUCAACUUUGUUCCCCAAUCUUCAUUUUCAUCACUUCUUCUUCUAAAAUCAUAACUUAUUCUUCCACCAACCAUGAAAUGAUCCUUACCAUAUACUCUUUUCCAUUGAGGUUGUUGUGCUAACCAUUUCACUAAUUUUUUUGGUGAUUCAUCUCUUAUUGAAACAUUAAAUCCCCAAAGAUAUUGACUUAUAUCAAGACCAGCAUAGUAUGGUACAUAAAUUGCUGAAGCCAACGAUGAAUCAUUGGUUAAACACUUGUAAUGUUUCAUCAAGUUGUGGAAAAUUACUUCUAGUGAAAAUUGAUUUGUUGCAUACCAAUUCUUCUUUGAUAGCACCUUCUUUUUUGAUUCCUCAAUAAUCUUAGGUCCUAAACCUAAGUUUGAUAAGUAAAGACACAAAUCUUCCCACUUCAAGAGAGUGUGGCAUCUUUUCAACAAAUCCUUAUUGAACCUACUAGGAAGAUCAUAAACGUAAAUAUAUCGGCCUAAACAAGGAUCGAGAAUUGUUGGGGACAGCUUCGUAAAUACUUCAUCGACAUUCUCUUCAAUCAAAGGAGGGGAAACUAUGGGUGCAUAUGUGGCUCCAAUAUUGGUAACAUUGUUUUGAUUAGUAGUAGUGGUACAACAAAUAGUUUCAUCAAAAUGGGAAGAAAAAUUUGAGGGUGUAGUAGCUAUUUCUUCAAAACGCUUUGCAUUAUUCAUGUUAGGAAAUAAGAAUGUGAUUUCACUAUCAUUGCUAGCCAAAUAAGAAUAAUUUAGAAAAAGUAAUGACACACAAACAAUAGAGAAUGUGAUUAGAAACACAAACCGGAUUUGAAACAAGUACUUCCUCAACAUUGACAUGUCCAUCUUCUUUUUUCCUAUUCAGAUUGAAAAUUGUUUUUUUUCUUUCUAUGAUGAUUUUGGAAUACAAGGAGAGGGGAGGUAGAGGGGUUAUUGUAUGAGAGAGAAAAACUUGAGUGUUAAAUGAGGAUUUCUUUAAGGGAAAGAUAUUAAAACAGAAUAAAAAGAUAUUUUUGCCCUUAAAGGAAGAGAGAAUAAGAAGAAUUCACUGAUGAUACAAGGAAGUAAAAACGGACUGUUAACAUUCUUAUAAGAAUGUUUAAUGAGUGAAUCAAAAUAAUAAAGAGAAAGUAUCAAUUGAUACCAAAUUCUUGGUUCCAUAUUAAUGUAAUUAAAGGCUCAAAAUUACUGACUUAUGUGAUCUCCAUUUAUUUACCUUGGUGCACGUAUUCUUCGCAAUUUCUUGUCUCAGUCCUGAAAAGUCAAAAGUGAUUUUCGCUAAUCACUUUGAAUGGAUACUUAAAAUGAUUGCAUUUACAUUGAUACGAACAUGAGUGCAUGCAUUAUAUGGAUAUAUGAUUUUUUUUUUUUUAAAUUGCGAAUAUGGAUACAUAAUUUUUUUUAAUUGCAAAUAUGUUAGUACAAAUAUAAAAAUAUUAACUUUUAAUUAACAUUUCCUAAAAAAAACUUUUAAUUGACAUGACAAGAUUGUAUAAAAAUGAAAAUCACAAAUAUAUAAAUAAAUGUGGAGUGUUUCAAAUAAAGAGAAAAAAAAAUUCUCAAAAAAAAAGAAGAAGAAAUAAGUAUUGGGAUCAACUUAUUUUCUAAUUAAAUGUAUUACCAAAAAUAGAAUUAAAAAAUAUGCAGAAAAAAAAACUAUACGAUGAAACCCUCUAAAAGAAAAAACUAUACGAUUAUAUGAUUGGAGCAUGUUCAAAACAAUUACAUCGUAGGUGUACAUAAAUUGCAUUUUUUAAUUUAUAUAGAUUAUUAUUAAAUAAUUUUUACACUAUCAAUCAACCAUAAUAAUUUAAUCAUUAAAAGUGAUUUUUAUAUCAAAAAAUAUCAUUAAAAUCGGUUUAGUUUUACAGAUACAUUAUAUGAUUGAUGAUUGAUAUAUAAUUUGUCCAUAAUAUAAAAUUUCUUAUGGUGUAUCAAAAUUAAUAUUUUUUUAGAGACAAAAAAGUAGUCUUAAACAAAUUUGUCUAUAAAAAAAAAAUUAAUUAGAAUACUCUAACAGUGUAAAACCACUUUACAUUAUCAACCAAUCAAAAUUACUCUAUCAGACACAUCAGCGUUUUUUAAAAAUAGAAAAAAUUAAAUAAAAUCUUCUGUAAUAACUUCCUCCUACGUUAUGUAUUUUUUUUUUUCAUUAUGAUAUUGUCUGUUUUCAUCCUUUCAAAUCCAAUUUUCAUCUCUCUCACCUCCCACACCACCUCUUCCAUUACAUCCAUGUCUGUAAGGCUACUAGUUUCUACAUACUACAUAAGAUAAAAUUUCUCUGAUUUAAUGAUUUUUCUUUGUAAUCAAGAGUUAUCUGUGAAGAAAAUAUAAAAAUAUGUGAAGAAGAUAAUACCUAAAAGAUUAUUUUUCAGUAGAUUUAUGAAAUGGCUCCAAUUUAUAUGAAAAUUUGAUUUCCUUUUUACAAAUACAGAGGAUCUCAACUCUGGCUCCAAUUCAUGCAAUGGCGGCUAUGAAGAAUUGUUUGUCAAAUAAUGUACAUUAAUUUUGUAACGUGGUGGAAACAUUCCUAAAGUAAAUAGGCCUAGAUUUUAACAAACAAUGGUAGGUAAAUAAAAUCAAUUUGUAUAAGUAUUACAUCUUUAUAGGAUGUUGAAUAUCAGUAGUUAAUUUUUUGACUUUAUUUUGCAAUAUCCCUUGUUUUUAGCUUUUACUAGUACAACCUCAGUUUUACUAGCAUGCUAAAUAGUGUUAGCAUAUUUAAUCAUGAAAAGAGAAACAAAUUGAAAGAGGAAGAGAUGAAGAAGAAUGAGGACAAGAGUGAAAAGAAGGAUGAAGGAGAAAAUAAAAAAGCAUUCUUACUCUUUCGUGCAGAUGGAUGAGAGAGAACGGAUCGAUGCAGUCAAAAGCUUAAAUUUAAAAUCAUGGAAAUAAGGUAUUUAUUAGAAAAGAUUUGAUUUGAUUUUCUCUAUUUUUAACAUAUAGGUUGACGCGUCUAAUUGAAUAGUUUUAAUUGGUUGACAGUGUAAAAUGACUUUACACUGUCAUAGUAUUCUAAUUAAAACUCUAAAAAAAAAAAGAAUUUUACAUAAAAAUUACAUUAUUUUGCUAUAUGGUUAGUGUGAUCGAAAAAGAUAAACAUCAUUUAUUACAAUUUAAAAGCCAUAAAAUAUUUAUACUUAUAAUUUUAAUAAAAACCAAAAUUUCAUUAAAAAAAAUCAUCGUUCAUAAUUUUUAUGCAUUAGCGCAAUAAAAAAACCUAAAGGAAAAGAUGUAGUCCCGUCUGAACGUUGAUGUUUAUAUAAAGAUAAUAUUGGUGUAUUCAUGCAAAUUUAAUAGUUAAAGUAUUCGUGUAUAUUUGUCUAUCUCCUAAAAAAAAUGUUUCUUUGUCUAUGUCUUCAAACCAUGCACAAUAGAGCACCCUAAAUUAGGUGCUUAAAUGAGUUCCUUAUGUCUACAACACUCAUUUUACUAUAAUAUUUAAUAAGCAUCAAUUUUUUUCAUUCCAGCAUCUAAAAAAAAUUAUUAAAUAGGUCCCAUAAAUAAUUAUAUAUCAUUACAUUUCAACAAAUUUUAUUUAUAUUAUUAAGAUUUAUUAAAUGGAAUCCACAAAAAUUGGAGAGAGAGAGAGAGAGAGUGAGAGAGAGCUCCCAUAUGCACCCAUAUAUUAUAAUCUACAAUAUGGGUGUCUGCUUAACGUGGUGCUAAAUAGGUAACCAUUCACCAUUGAGAAUGGUCUCAUAAACUAAAUCUGAGUGAUUACAUCUUAAAGUUUCACAUUGUUUGAGAGUUGAAGUUAUCAAGGAUAGUUUUUAUACAACACUCAUACUCUUCAAUUAAACGAGACGUCUUUUAUAAAGGACAAAAAUUGAAGUGAGAGAGAGAGAGUGAGAGAGAGAGCUCCCAUAUGCAUCCAUAUAUUAUAAUCUACAAUAUGGGUGUCUGCUUAACGUGGUGCUAAAUAGGUAACCAUCCACCAUUGAGAAUGGUCUCAUAAACUAAAUUUGAGUGAUUACAUCUUAAAGUUUCACAUUGUUUGAGAGUUGAGUUAUCAAGGAUAGUUUUUAUACAACACUCAUACUCUUCAAUUAAACGAGACGUCUUUUAUAAAGGACAAAAAUUGGAGUGAGAGAGAGAGAGAGAGAGAGCUCCCAUAUGCAUCCAUAUAUUAUAAUCUACAAUAUGGGUGUAUGCUUAAUGUGGUGCUAAAUAGGUAACCAUCCACCAUUGAGAAUGGUCUCAUAAACUAAAUUUGAGUGAUUACAUCUUAAAGUCCCACAUUGUUUGAGAGUUGAAGUUAUCAAGGAUAGCUUUUAUACAACACUCAUACUCUUCAAUUAAACGAGAUGUCUUUUAUAAAGGACAGAAGUAUAAAUGGCUUACUUACAUCUAAAGCUCACAAUACCUCGAAACGUGAUGUGACAUACUUGAGGGUAGAUCCACACAAUAAGUUAUGUGAUUAUGUUUAUGUCUCCCCAUUAAAAAAUAAUGUUUAUGUCUUAGCUUUAGAAAAACUUUUAGAAACCACACUUUUCAGAAGGUGCACUUUUGAAUGGAGAAAAACGCAAUUUUUGUGUCCCCAAAAAUGGGUAAAUCUUAUCUUUGCUCUCAUGACAUUUCACCUUAGAAUUCUGCUCUUCACCCAGCAUUUUUCGUUCGCGCCCUGCAGUCAUUCCAAAAAUACCCCUGCGCUAGUUAACUCAUGCAUGUUAUAAACUCAGUGUGAGUUAACUCACGCUAGGGAAAAUGUGAAUUUUCUUAUUCAUUUGGCAGCUAGUACUGCUUUAUGUGUAAUUGCUAUAUAUGCUAUACCAUGUAGCAAGCAACCUUGUUCUAUCCACUAGUUCAUAUUAAAGAAUUUUAUCUAGUAUAAACACCUGUGAUUAUACCAUGCAGCAAGUAACUCUCGGCUGAACAAGUGGAAAUUUUCUUAAGCUUUUUAGACAAUAGUGGUCGCCACCUAAUCAUAGGCUAAUAUAGCCAUCUUAACAUGUGUUGUUUGUCCAAAACUCCACCUCAUCCAUCUUCUUUUUCAUUGAAUGCAAUCUGGUCAACUUCUGAUUUUGGAUUGAAAUGCAUCUUGGCUAUGCAGCAAUAAAAACGCGACUGUCCUUUUGGAAUUAUGAACUAGCGUGAGUUAACUCACGCAGCGUUACUUAACUAGCGCAUAGUUUUACACUUGCGUUAGUUAACUAGCGCAAGGGUAAAUUUGAAACGGCUGCAGGGCGCGAGCAAAAUAUGCAGGGUGGAGAGCAGAAUUCUUCACCUUAUGAUUCUCGAACUCGAAAGCCACCACACAACUUAAAAGCCACAACCCUAACCCCAAAAAAUCAAAUUGUAUAGGUUGAGCAUUGAUGCUAAAAAUAAACUUACGAGAUUGGAGGAGAGUGGGAGAGAAGAUAAGAUAGGGAUGGCGUAUUUUUUUAAAAUUUAUAAAGUAUUCAAGCAAUAUAAAAUAGAACUACUGUUGAGAGGGAUCUAGUGUACCUUAGACUUAAUUUGGAUAAUUUAACAGGAUUUUGUAAACAGAUUUUUUUUAUAGUAAAAAAAUCAAACACUUCAAUUUCUCAUGCGUUGGAAACAUGAUCUUUUUUUAAAAAAAAAUCUUACUACUAGUUAAGGUGCUUGAAGAGUGGUCUAUGACCACUUAUUAGCAUUUUUCUAAUUUAAAAUGAAUGAAAAGAAGUGAAAUUGAAUGAAGCGGAAUAAAAAUUUCAUUUUACAAGUUUGGAUAUAUUUUUAAAGUUCGUUUCCCAACUAUUGUGCGUAUGAAAAAAUUUGGAUGGGAAGAAAUACACACCUUUUAUUCCCAUAGUUCCCAACAUGUUUCCAUUCCCAGCAUAUUUUUCGAAGAAGAUUAGUUACCACUAUGUUGUAAACUUUUACUUUUUUUAAGAGUAAACUUUUACCGUUGACACCGUAAGAUAAUUAUUAUGUAAAAUUAAAACAUUAUUCUUCAUGAAAAUAAUUUAAAUUUUUUAGCUUAUGAGAUGUCCCAUUCAUGAAAUAACCCACAAAUGAAUAUCCACAUAUCUACUAUGAUACUGACACUACUACAUAUAUAAGAUUUAGUAACACUUUAAAAUUGUAACUAAAUCAAAAACAACUGUUACUAUUUAGAUCUUGUAACAUUUGACAAAUGUUAGGUAAAGCCGUGUUACUAAAUGAUUUCAGUAACAUUUGAGAGUAAAACUUGCAACACUUAAAAAUUGUUACUAUGAUAAUCCGAUCAGUGGUUCCAGGGAAGAAUACAUAUUCUGAUAUUGUGCUAUGUUAAUUAAUGCUCACAAAAUAAGUAUAGACAGACUAUGAAAAAUUACAGAUAUAGAUAUAUCAAAUCAUGAACUCGGGAAACAGUCUAAAUGGUUCUACAAAUUCAGAAAACCAAUAAUUUUUGUAGCAGGAAUGUUAUAAAAGUUUACCUCCAAAUCCCCAAUGUUCAGCUCAUCAACUAAUUAAGUCAAAAUUCUAACAACCUCAAAAUCUGGAGCCAUUUUUUUAGAUGAACCAGCAAUAUCAAAGCCACAUUGAUAAAAUUCAGGGUAUCUUCCUUUAGAUGGAUUUUCUCUUCUGUAGGCUUUAGCUAUUAGGUACCUUUUUAAAGAUGUCAGACCAUCCAUAUCUGCAAAUCUAGAAAAUGGAACUAUCAAGUCAGACCUCCAAGAACAGAGCUCCCCACCCUGUUAAACAAGUUGAUUACCAGUUAGCAUGAGGUGAAAUUUAACUUUAUCUAUGGAUUUGGUGCAAACAAAUCCUUAAUGGCGGUCUGGCUUAAAAAGCAGAAAUCUAGAUUCAUGAACAACUUGUUUCACUUAUAGAGAAAAAAUGUUAAAAAAUUUCAUUUAUUUGAAUGCUGUAAAAAAAUAUUUCUCCCAAAUAUUCUUAAAACAACUUAAGUAGUUAAGAAGUGAAUAACCGAUAAAACCUUAUCAGCAAUAUCAUAAACCAACUUUGAGAUUUCUCCAUAUUUUCCUAUGAGAGCUUCUCUCAAUUCAAAGACCGGUGUAUCCAAGGUUGUGGCGCCAUGCCUCUCAAAAACUUCUACCAUUACUGAAAAUGCUUUCUUUCUAAUAGUCAUUUGUUCUUUAGCGAAAUCAUGUGUCCCCUAAAUAAUUAGAACUUACAAUGAUCUAUGCUACUGUGAAGUGUCAAGCAAGCUAUUUUCUUGUAAUAGACUCAAGCUGAUAAAUAGAAUAAACUCAUUAAUAAUUAUUCAUGUGACAGAGUGGAUCAAAUAUAAUACUCACAAGUAACUUUGAUGGUAGGAAUAGGGAAACAUCUUUUGAUAUAUCUUCCCAACACAGGACAUGCCAAAAUCACAUAUACUUUCACCAAAUAGAUGACUUGUACCUCUUUUUCUGAAUCCUGCAAAAAACUAGCAGACAUAUUAGUAAGUAAUAGCAAUAUAUUAAACUAAAGCAUAGGAAAACUCAAGAAAAACAGCAUGUAAAAAUUAAUGAACUAAGGGAGGGAGAGAAAAAUGUCAUGACAGUUGUAGUCUAAGGAAGGGAAGAAUGGUACCUCUAGGCUACAAAACAAGUCCCUGGCAGAAAGGACUCAGACAAGCAUUGAUUCACAAAGAAUGCAGUAUCUCAUUUCACUGGCUUAGCGACACCAAGACUGUGAGAUUGAAAUUGAACUGUUUUAUCAAUCACUUCAUGACAAUGGAACAUUAACAUUUGCAAUAUUUGUAAAAAACUUGGAAAGAAAGAUGAGCAUUGGACCAUGCACAUAGUAAAAGGAAUCAUUUUAAAACCAAUCAAAGUGGAAGUUUAUACCUCAGAUGCCACUGUUCCCAUCUUGGUGCAAGCCAUCAAUCACACUUAAAGUCAUUGGCAGAUCUGCAAACAGAACCAAAUAAUUCAAAAACAAAGAUUAAGCCACCAAAUAUGGUAGAUUAAAUGGUAAACAACAAAACACAAUAGUCUCAAAAAGCAAAACAUAAUUUAGGAACAAAUAGCUUCCUUAGGCAUCAUAAUCCCAAUUGAAAAAUCUAUAAAUAAGUAAAUAAGCAUAUGUUUUUACAAAAAGUUCUACUUCUACCAACCAGUCAUCUUUCCUAAAUAAGCACACAAUUGCAAAACACAGUCAAAUUUCAUUGAGUCAAAUUAUCGAACACCUGAUAGGCAGCACAAUAAUACCUUGCUAAAGAAUAAUGAACAAGCUUCAACUGCAAUUGGAAGUUCAAUGCCGCUGCAUUUUUUAUGCUCUGAUGGCGGUGGUUACCGAAUUCGAUAAAAUCUCAAUUACAUCAAAAAUAAGAAUCAACUUAACCUAGAAAAUGUCAAUUACAUCAAAUCAGAAUCAAAUUAACUUAGAAAAUGUCAACUGCAUCAAAUCAGAAUCAACUUAACCUAGAAAAGUAAAUUUCUUAACCAAAGUUAAUAAUCAACUUAAAAUCAAAUCAAAUAAACCUAGAAAUAUCAAGUUAUGAAUUGGAUUUAUUAUCACAUCACCUUAACUUAAACAUAAAAAAUUACCUCAUCAAAUCAGAAGAAUUAACCCAAAAAAUCCAAAUUUUUACUCAGCGAUUGGAACAGAAUGAGAUUGCGAUGAAGAAGUUGACCAGAACAAUUUCGAUGAAGGGAUUGCGAAGAGGAGCGAUUGUGAUGAAGAUGUGAGAGUGAUUGAAAUGAAACUGAUGAGGAGAUGUCAUGAAGAGAUUUUGAUUAAGCAAUUUUGACAAAGCUAUUUUGGGAUAAAGCCCUUCUGAGAAAAGUGAUUCUAUGAGAGAGAUAUCUGAAAUGAAAAAUAAAGUUGUAUAAAUCUAUAAAAGUUAAACUAAUUAAAUAGUAUUAAAAAACCUUUUUUGGGUGAAAUAAAACUGUAGUUUAAAUAUUAUUUUUAUAAUAUUGAAAAUAAUUGUUGUAGUGAUGUAACACUUUUUAAAAAAUGUCACAUAUAAGAUGUUGCAAAAGGUUAUAUGUGUCGUAGUGUGAACUAGUGAAGCAAAAUAGCAAAUGAGACAUUCCAACACAUUGUGCAACCAAAAUCAAUCACAACUCAUUCAUAAAACUCGUAUAUAAUCAAAUAAUUGCAAUGCAAAAUUGUAUUAAAAAAGCAAUAAGCCAAGUUUUACAAAGGCCCCGUUUGGAUUGGCUUAUUUUGAGCUUAUGUGGGCUUAUCUACUAACAUAAGCCUUUUUAAAGGUGUUUGGGUAAAUAAAUAAAAAUAGCUUAUCAUAGUUUCAUAAGCUGCUUAUGCCAUAUUUUAAUAAGCCUAAAUUUUCAGCUUACCCUCUGGCUUAACAAGGAGCUUAUGAAUUUAUGUAACCUCCUUCGAUUCUCUCUGGAUCCACUUUUUCAAAACAUAUAUUUUAAUUAUAAUUUUUUUUGAAGGAAUAUUUUAAUUAUAAUGUUAGUUAUCUUUGGCGGUGCAUCAGUAACAAAAUUGCUAUAUACUUAUCUUACUAAAGUAACAAACGUAACUAAGAUUUUUUUUUUUUUAAGAAGAUUUUUAUUAUUUUUUUUGUUACGUAACAAAAUGAAACUGAAUAAAAAAACAAAUUUAACUUGUCUUUUUUGGGUAACAAACUGCACACUAAUAUCAAUAUAUAUGAUAUGUUUAUUUACACCUCUAAUGUUAAUUUUGUCUUAUAUGAAUAUUGAUAUUUUUUUUAAGGACAAAUAUUGAUUAUACUAUAUAUAUAUAUAUAUAUAUAUAUAUAUAUAAUUAUAAUUAAUAUGUUAUAAUAUUGUUUUUUUACACCUUGAUUAAUUUUAUCAAAAAAAAUCUUGAUAAUUGUGGUUCAAUUCUUUGAUUUUUUUGUUAAAUUAAAAAUAUUUAAAAUUUCGAUAAUUGCUUAUGUAAUGUCACAUCCAAACACUUCAAUUUAUGUAAGUACUUUUUAGUGUACAUAUCCAAACAUAAAUAGCUUAUCAAGUAUAAGAGCUUAUGAUAUAAGCUCUAAUGUUAUAAGCACUAAUGCUAUAAACAUCUAUAUAAGAUGUUUAUCCAAACGGGGCCAAAAGCUCAAAAAUAAUUACAAUAUAUCAAUAACUAUCUUUAUAUUGUAUCAAUAGCAAUGGAUUUAUAAAUGAAUAGCUAGCAAUAGCAUAAUGGAGGCCACUUGGAGAAGGAGAAGAACGCACGGGAAACCAAAAAGAAAAUUAGAAGAAACGAACUAUUCAGUGAAAUAGAAAAUAAGGAUAACAUAGUAUUAUAUGAUUAAUAGAUUCCAUUUCAUUGCAUACGCCUCAAAAUAGAGGUAAUGAACAAUUGGAUAAAAGGAUGGUUUGAAAUUGAAUGAAUUUCAUUUCACUUUUUUGCAAAAAUUAAAUAACAGAAUUUAACUUCACAAUGCUUCUUUUCAUUAUAUUUCAUCAAUUUCAAAAAGUUGUGUGGAGAUUUUACCAUUUGUGAAAUUAAGGGUCAGAGUUUUUACCGCAGAACAGACAUGUGGUCAAACAUGAGAAAACAUAUUCUGACAAUUUACAUGUUUUUAUUUGCUUUUGACACUUUUGACUUUCUAGUAUCAGAGGUUGUUGACCUUCCACAUAGAGUUCAAAGGGCCAUGCAUAACAAUGUCAUGACUCUUAAGUCCAUAAAUAUUGUAUUUACAAAGAUUGGUUUUGCUAUCCAAAAAGUUCUAACUCCAUAGCUUGUUGCCGCCUGCUCGCCUUCUAUUCAUGUAUAAUUAAUCGUUCUUCAAUAUAAACAAAGUCCAUUAAUCAUAAGUACGUACUUAUCCACAUAGUCGGUCGUAAAUUUUUUGAUGCCGUGGAGGUAAUUUUUUUUGUUGCAAUAAAGACUUAAUAUAAAAGACAUGUAACAAAUGUCAUUAAUGACUCAAAGUUUCAAACCAUCUCAAGACCUUAAUAAGAGUUUGUUGACGAAAGUACUUACAUGUUAUCCAUCAACUAUAACUCACUGUCAAUUAGAAAUAUGAAUCAAUCAUUACCAUAAUCCAUUGGUAUCUUACGUGGAAGUUGUCUGAUCCCUAAAAAUCAAGGUGCAUGCGCGUGCGUCAAUAUAAAACAAAGUGAACUACAAGGUGUGUGCUGCUGACUGCUGAUCUAGUCAUCUCCACUUGCAUUUAUAUGAGAAAAUAAAAUAUUUUCAUUGGAGCAUUAUGCAGACAAGAUAUAUGCAAUCAUGAUCCAUGAGGACUAAAAUAAAUAUGUUUUGUUUUGCAAAAUUAUAUUAACCAACAAUAAAUACGCUAAAUUGCAUUUUUUUUCCCUUAAUUAAAAUUCGAUUUAUUUUGGUCCCUUAACUUCUCUCCGUUACACAUUUUGAUCCUUUCUGUUAGUUUUAAUUCAAAAACGUUAGGUUUUCUUCAUCUUCUUCUUUUUUUCAUCUUCAUAUCAUCUCCAUCAACCUUCAACAACAAGAAUCUCAGAAAAAUUUCAGAAGAACAUGAAGAAAAUCUAACAUUUUUUAAUUGAAACUAAGGAAAGGACCAAAAUGUGUAAUGGGGAGAAGUUAAUGAACCAAAAUAAAUCGAAUUUUAAUUAAGGGACCAAAACGAUGCUAUCUAAAUAGUUAAGGGACCAAAAAUACAAUUUAGCUCAAUAAGUGCUUAGCAAGACUUUAACUCUGAAUUGAAUUUUUAUACAACACUCCAUUGUUCAUUAUUUUGGUGCUAUGCCAAUAACUAUGAUACUAACUAGUCUAUAACACACUCCGCUCUUUGUGCAAGUGCCAAAUCUAACGGUCUGCAGAUGGACCCCUUUCUUUUAUUUGAAAUUAUUGUUUCUGUUUUUUCUUUUCACCAAUAUUGUUGUUUGUGUUACAAUCAUUAUUCACCACUUGACCCCAUUUUCACUUCCUAUGUAUGCUACAACAACAAUAGUAGAAAUCAAACUGAUACAGAUUCUUGAAUCCUAUCUUCAAGCUUCAACGACAUUCUGAUCCUCUCUUUCUUUCUUUUCUGCUAAUGCAUGAUGCUCCAAGUAUUCUCUGCUGUUGAUCUCUGUCAGUCUGUAUUCAAUUUGUCACAUAAUUAGUAAUCAUUAAUCAUGGUCAUUUCUGCACUAUUUUGAAAUUAAAUUUCCUUGCUUUAGUUCAUAUUGGUGUCAUUUUAAAUUUGUCACUAAACAUCCAUUUUUUGCCGUAUUUUAUGAAUAAAAACCAAACAACGGGGCAAUUUACAUUGCACUUGUAGCACCUCAACCUCUAGAGUUUGUUCAUGAUCUUAGACAAUUUAACCUAACCAAAACUAAUUAUACAUUUUUUUUAUAGAUAUAUAUAUCAUACCUACUAAUGGUGCGGUCUUUUGCAAACCCUAGUUCAUUGUCAACACAAAGGUCAGCCUCAUCAUUUUUUCUCGAUCUCGAAGAGGUCCUGGGUGCCCUUUGUUUAGCCUCGGAUAUUGUUACUAUUUUUUGAAAGAGAUCAAGAGGGCUACCAUCAGCUGAACACAAUAAUCUGGCUUUGUUCUCAUAUAUCACCUGUUACCACAAACAAACAAAGCAUGGCAUUAAUUUUACUCUCCCCGCAGGAAAUAGAAAUAUAGAGGGUAACUAAAAUGCAUAGGAUUAUCCGUCCCAAUGAUGCCUUAUCGAAGUGGAAUAAGCUUCAUAUUCUUAUAAAAUCAUUAAAAUUAGAAUUUCAGGUAUGCAACUUUGAUUUAUAACAAUUCUUAGCUUACAUAAUCUUAUUCAUAGCUAGGUUUAAGAAUCUCAUUCUUCGACUUUUCUGGUCAAAAGUCAAUAUCACAGGAAAUAGGGCAAGUGACUGGGCCUGGGCUUACAUAGCUAGGUUUAACUUAAGUAGAACAAACUAUUAAGAUAUGAAAUGCUUGGUAAAAUUUAAUCACACUCACAGAAGAGAAGACAAAGUUUAAAUGCGGGCAAACCAUUUAAAAGGACUUACAUCCACCAAAGUGACAAACCUAUGUGCAGCUGCUUUAUUACUAAGCCCAAAAAUCGGGAUGCCAUCAAGUGCUAAAGUAUGAAAUUUCUCUGAAAAACAAAAACAAGACAUUGUGUAACAUUGAUUUAUGGAUCUCUCAUAUAAUGGAAAUCUGUAAAAUUAUGAAGGACAACAAAUACUUACAGAGUAAUUGUAAACCGAAAUUAUCACAAUGAAAGAAAGAAUACAAAGUUUCCACAACAAUGAAAUCAUUAUCUGACUAUUAAUUUAAGGUUCCAAAAUUGAAACCCUCAUUUGCAUUUUGCAUGAGAAAAUUCAUUGAAACAUACAACUUACUGAAUAAUCCAAAAUAAUCUGCAGCUCCAAGAGGUUUGUCACAAAGUUCUUCAAAAGGAAAAUAGGCACAUCCAUUAGCUCCCAAUGGGACCUGAUGAAGAAAAUGAGCAAUAGCUAAAGUUUGAUGAUAACAACAACAACAACAAUAAUGAUAAUAGUGAUGUGCUCUCUGUAUGUGUAUCUACGAUAUAAAAUUUAACACAUACGUGAAGUUUUCUUCCCAUUACUACUUCCACUUCUUGGGGAGUAGGUGUGCCUUCUCCAAUCAACUGCUGAAACUUUUUCUUAAGAAAGCCAGACGAAUCACUGCCAACCAAAUAGAAUCCUUGGCCACCCUACAGUCCAAAUUAGCAAAAAAACAAAUAAUUUAAGAUCGACACAAGAAAAACUCAGUUACAUUAACAGAUAUAAGAGUGUACAUAUGUCAUACCGAAGUCAUUUUGCGGUAGUCAGUUGAUGAACCAAUCUCAUGAGCUAUGCAUCUUUCCUACAUCAGUAUACACAUACUAGAAAAUUAUUACAAAAACAAUAGCUUAUUUGACACCGUUCCAACUAUAAAAAUAUUUAAAGCGUACCUUCAAUGUUGCAAUGAAGGGUAGAAAGAGAUCCCUCUGCAGUCCACCUUCAUAUAGAUUAUCUGGAGCACGAUUUGAAGUGGAUACUAGAAUCUACACUUGUGUCCAAACACAUUGAAGAAAUGAAGUUUUGAAAUUAAUUAUGUAAUGAUUCCAUAAAAUCAAGUUGUAUAGAGGCUGAGACAUGGUUAUAUAUUACUUACAAUUCCUUUGCUGAAUAGAUGUCUGAACAAGCGAUUAAGUAUCAAUGCAUCGGCAACAUCUGUUACCUACAGAAGACCAACAAAUCUCAAGCUGUGACAACAAAGUAUCUGUGAUCUAUUGCUAAAAGAAAAAAAUAUACUAAAAUUUACCAUGAAUUCUGCGAUCUAUUGCUAAAAGAAAAAAAUAUAUCAUACUAAAAUUUACCAUGAAUUCUGCGAUCUAUUGCUAAAAGAAAAAAAUAUAUCAUACUAAAAUUUACCAUGAAUUCAUCAAGACAUAAUAAAACUGCUUCGUCAGAAAUCUCUCCUGCAACAACAUCCAGUGGAUCUGACAGGCCCUUGUGCUUCUACAAGGACAGAAAACAGAAAAACUGAAGAUAAGCUUCCUCAUAUUCUGUUUGUCAAUUAUGCAUACAAAGAUAACAUCAUUCUAGAGACUUCAAAAACAAAAUUAAUUAAUGCUCAAAGCAUAUCAUUUAAAGAUUCUUAAAUAAUUUCUUACUCCUAAAGAAUACAUAACUAUUGGAAUUCUUCCCUAUGUCGAGUAGGGCAUAAAAAAAAGGAUACAUCUAAAAGGUGGUGAGCAGUUUAUGUAAACUUACUUGUAAUAGGCUAUGUACAUUCAACAUGAAAUCGUGAAAAUGAAUCCUCUUUUUCUUCCAAUUUGAGGGCCUGGGGAUGAAAAAAAUCAAGCAUACAAUAGAGCUGGUCAGACUAUAAUGUUUAACCUCAUAAGAACACAUAGCAUAAAUAUUCGGAAAAUGCCUCAAAAUAUUCCCCUUACAGUGAGACUUGAGAAUGCCUCAAAAUAUGUCUCAAUAGCAUGUAAUACAAAAUUAAGAAAUCGACACAGAAGAAAUUAACAUCAAACUCACAAUUGAUCAUAAAACAAGUCCAUCAGCAUAGUUUUGCCAGUGCCUACUCCUCCAUAAAGAUAUAAACCUUUUACAGGUGAAUGCGAAGGAUGUGACAAGAGACGAGACCAAAGCCACCCGUGUCUAUAAAAAAAAGAGAGAGAGAGAAAUUAAAUCCAGAGCCUCAACAUGAUGUGAAAACAGAAACCAUAAAGUUCAAGAUUUGAACAGACAUAUCAGCAGGAAGCAAGAUAAAUAUCCUAUAUACCUUACAGGUUUUUCAGAAUUGCGAUCCAAUUGGCAUUCAUCGGCAUGCUCAACAAGCUCAUCAUAGAGUCUCUGAAGUUCAGUCAGUGUUUCAACCUACCUCAACAAAAGAAAGGGAAAAAAAUUUAAAUGAUGUAAUUACUAUAUCCUAAUAAAGUUCCAUGAAGAAAUGCAUGCAUGAAUGAUACAACAACUUCCAGCAACAUUUUCCCAAUAAGCCAAAGUAGGGAAAAUAAUUUCAUCAAUUCAAUUAUGCAUCAUUGAAAUACAGACAUUACCUGACAACUAUCACCAUCUACCAAUUCGCCAUUGGCAAUUCUCCGUUCAUACUCAACAAGAGGUCCACUUUUUUUAGUUACUGUAACAACAAAUUCCAAUAAAAAUGAGAUUAGAAAAAGAGAAGUUUCAAUUCACACUUGCAUAUUUCCAAUAAGAAAAUUGAGAUUCAAAAGGAGCUAAACCUCCAUUUGUGAUCUUCACAGCAUCAGCUGAGAUAGAUCUUGUGGAUGUGUUAAUAAAUGGAUGGUUCUUGAAUAUGUUUGACUCAGCUUGAUCAAGAACUCUAUAAGCUGAAUUAUGAAUUUGACAACACUUUUCAAAGUAACAAGGUUUUUCUGCAACAAGAUUGUUGAUCAUAACACAACUUUGUCUCUGAUAAACAUGUCUCAAUUGGCGUAGAGAACGAACACUGAUUCUCAUCUUCAACAAAACAACCCAACAAAUUUUUUUCAGGAAUCCCUGGAAUAAAAAACAAACAUUUAUUUAUCUAUUAUGAAUCAGAAAAACAUGUUACAAACAAAAGAACCAAAAAUUAAAUAAUAAAAAAACUUAUCUUUGAGUUCAACUUAAUUCAAUAACGAAUACAGAAUUUAAUAAAAAGAUUCUGAAAAAAAAAACAGAUUGAAUCGCCAUUUUCAAAUCCCAAUUCAUUCCGGUAUGUUAGGAAGAUUGCUGAAAAAACAAUGAAAGAAAUAGACAAAAAGAAACAUUGAAAGAAGAAUAAAAACAAUAAAAAAACGAACCUGGAAUGAAUAAUGAAAAGAUAAGAACAGGAAUUAAGAAGAGAGUCCCAGGAAUGAGGGAAUGAAAAGGUGAGUUUUUUGGGAGUGAACAGAGAGAAGAGAUUUUUGCAUGUAUUGUAAUUGGAACAUAACACAACAGAUUGAUCUACGAGAAAGAGAAAACGUAAUUUAUUAUUAUUGUGUCAUGUUAUGUUUGUUUUGGGGUUUGAUGUUUUUUUGAGUUGGACAUUUGACUCGGAAAAUCACACGUUUGCUUCCACGUUACAAUUACAAAGAGUAUAGACAUCCACUCCAGAUGCUGAGUGAUGAUGCUAAUAGUAAUAACAUUGGUUAUGCCAAAAAUAUUUAUUUCUCUCAAAAAAAAAAUAUAUAUAUAUAUAAAUUUAUUUUGCAUUUUUCACAAGAAUUAUUUGUAUAGUAAUAACUAGCAAGAAAGACAGACACUAUCGUGUCCGUCUGUCAACUCUUUCUAUUGCGCUAACGCAUAUGAUUAUUAUGUUUGUUUGUAUAAUUUUAAUUAAAUUUUAAAAUAUUAAUGAAAAUUAUUGAUAUAUUAAUUUAUAAACAAAAUAUUAUCAAGGCAUAUAAAAAAAUUAUUUAUGAACUCAACAUAUUUUAGUUUACCUGCAUGUAAAAUAAAGAUAAAAUAAUGAUAUUUUAUUGUUUAUUCUAAUAGUAAUUAGUAACAUCAUAAUAUAAAUGUAUAAAUGACAUGUUAGGUAAAAGAAACAUUGUUUUAAACAAAAUAAUAAUUUAUUUAAGAAUUAAAAAAAAAACAUAGUUCUCUUUAUAUAUAUAUAAAAAAAAAAAAAAAACCACGCUAUUAUAGUAUAAGCAAUUAUAAAUCAACAAAGUCAAAUAAUCCUUCAAAUUAAUCGUAAACAAUUUGAAUCAUAAUCAUUUAUAAACCAGUAAAGUCAAAUAAUCCAUAAAAUUAAUCGACUUUGAUUAGUUGUAACAUGAAAGAAAAAGAAAAAAACUUACAGGUUAGUUCUGAAUUCUGAUCCAAGGGUUGAGAGAGGUUGAGAAAAACUAAACAAUGUGGAAACGAAUUAUGAGAACCCUACUUAUUAAUAUUUAAUAUAUAAUAUAGUGCUAACAAAUUUUUUCUAAAAUAUUUUGAGUCCUAAUCUUUUUGUUAGAUGAUUUAAAGUCUAAUCUUUAACAAUAUUUUUUGCUCACGUUUGUUACUAAUAUUUUUUUAUAGGAUUUAAAAUCCGAUUUUAACAUUAUUUUUUGCUCACGUUUGUUGCUAAGCUUUUUUUAGAGAAUUUAAAGUUCAAUUUUAACAUAAUUUUUUGCUCACGUUUGUUACUAAUAUUUUUUUAAGAUGAUUUAAAGUCCAAUUUUAACAUAAUUUUUUUGCUCACGUUUGUUACUAAGCUUUUUUUAGAGGAUUUAAAGUUCAAUCUUUAACAUAAUUUUUUGCUCACGUUUCUAAUCUUUUUUUUAGAGGAUUUAAAGUCCAAUCUUUACCACUAUUUUUUGCUCACGUUUGUUACAAUUGAUCAAAGGCUAAGAAAGAGAAACUUAUAUUAAUAAAAUAAAAUAAUAUUAUUAAUAAAAUAAAAUGAUAUGAAAAUACUGUUUUUUGUGUAAGGGAUAUGAAAAUACUUGACAAUCUUUAUCGGUUGUAUUGAGGGAAACACAAAUGUACAAACAUUUUUUUUUAGGGAAACACAUAUAGAGCAUAAAAGUGGGUGAUAAAAUAGGAACAUGAGUUUUUGUUUUGUGCUAGUUUUUUGUGAGUUUGAUAUGUUGUUACGGAGGUAAAAGAGGGUUAACGGGAUGAUUAGUGACAUGGAUUAGUAAUCCACGUGUUAUUUUAUAAUUGGCUAACAUUAAGAACAUUUCAUAAGAAACUGUGUGUAAGUUUUCUCCUUAAAUUAAAUUAUUGUUAUAUAUUUGUUACAUGUGUUAUUUGUAUUUAAAAUUAAAAUUUAAAAUUAAGGGUAUUUUUGGAAAGAAAAGUUCAAUCCAAAAAAUACGUUGAAAGAGGUAAUUUUCUUUAUAUAUAGUAUAAAUAUAUACAAUACAAUUAUUCGUAUAAUAUUUUUUUUAAACUCAAUAUCUGAUUAAAAACCGAGUAAUCUUAAAGAUUCAUUCUCACCGACCAUCUGCAAAGAUCACAUUUAAAACUAGAACUAUGACAUAACUCCAUAUAAAUUUAGACCAUAAAGAAUCGAAUCUUCUCUAAAAAAAAAAAAAAAAAAAUCGAAUAUGAAAUUUAAAAAAAAAAAACAUACUUUAAAGCUUUUUUUUAUCUGUUUAAUACACAUAUAUACAUAGAGAGACACUAUCCUGUUAAAUGUUACAAAACCAUUUUAAUUUUUUAUAAUUUUUAGUUUCAUUGCUAGACAAUCCAAUCUGAUUUUUUUUACACAGAUGUCCAAAUAUAUCUCACUAUAUCUAGACAUCUACAUGUACAUUAAAAUAUUUGUUUCAAACUCUUCUACACUGAAUAAAUUAUUUUAUUUUUUAAACUUUUAAUUGAUUGUGUUGUAUACACUGAAUUGAGGAUGGAUAUAAUGAAUAGUAAAGUUCAUCAAACUUUUGUAUAUUUGGAAUGAGAAAUAAUAUUUGAACAACUAUUUUUAACAAUUUCGGUGACAACUCUCUCAUACUUUAAUUGUACUUUAUUCUCUCUGUUUCUUUUUCUCUCCCUAUUGCUAUUGUCCAAUAAAAAUGGAAGAAAAAGGCUCUCACCCAAAAUUGUCUAAAAUUGGUUGUCAAAAUAUCAUUCCUCAUUUGGAAUAUGUGAUCACAUGUUCUUGUUUUACAAAGCUUCUUUUACGGUGCAUUCAUAUUUUUUCUCUAUUCCCUAAUCCAUUCCUGAAUCAAUUCUACAUGUGAGACACAAAACCGGUCAAAAUCAACUUUUUUUUUAUAAAAAUAAAACGAUAUCACAUGUUUAAUCAAUUAUAUAUUUAAUCAAUUACUUGACCAUCAAAAUCAAUUCUACAUGUGAUAUACACAUGUUUCAGAAUCUGCAACGUUGACGAUCAAGUAAUUGAUUAAAUAUGUAAUUGAUUGACCAACCAACAACCUUUGAAAGACAGAAGGUAAUAAAACCCCAAACAUCACCAUUAUCUCUCCCAGUCACCUUCAUCCAAAAACACACCUCCCAAAAUACCUAAACACCUCCACCAAAGCAUACCUACAUGUAUAUUAAAACUGUUGUGAAUUCGGACUCAAAAUCACACCAAUACAAACGAUGAUGUAUGGAGCAAAGGAAAGUAGUAACCAGUAUCAAAGUGAACACAAGCAAUAAUCAGCAAUAACAUCACCUAGAUCUAAUCUAAGAAUCAAAGUGAAAAGCACAAAUCCACAAGCAAAAUAUAAAGGAGAGAAGAGAGGAACAAACACACCAAAAAUUGUUGACCCAGUUCGUCCAACUUGACCUAAUCUGGGGGAGAGAAUGAUCUCUCUAAUUCACUAUCAAUGAGUUCUUACAAAGAGAUACAAAUGGGUUACAAGAAAUUAGCUUCAACAAGUUCACAAAGAACAACCCUAAUUUCUACCCAUUUUCCCAAUCUCACCAAUGAACAAGACACUCAAUGAUUUUCACUCACCCAAUGUGUUUACAAUGUUUCCCAACCCAAGAGAACUCUAAUCAAAGACCCUCAACCCUAAAGUUACCUCCUUUGAUUUCCUAAGUUUCUCUCUCUUUCAGCUCUUCUUCAAAAACUACAAAGAACACUUAUAUAGCAGUCUUCAGCUAUCAAAAUCGUGUCACAUUUUCCCAAAUCGUGACUAGUUUGGUGCGUACGACCCAAGGUACGACCAACCUUAUCUUGAAAACUUGCCCAGCAAGCCGAAAAUCGUGUCACGAUUGGACACCCUGCAAAACAGCUCUCGACAUUACCAAAAUCGUGACACGCCUAUGAAAUCGUGUCACGAUUUCUCUAUUUUUCAACUUCAUAAUUUGAAGUCAUAAACAAUAAAAACCCUUAUAAUAACACACGUUACUCUUCCCAUACCUGAAUCCAAUCAAACGACUACGAAACCAAUAAAAAAACAGCCCGAACAGUUUAGAUGUCUUACACUUAAGACCAAACAAUCUAUAAACUAAAACUAACAUCAACCACCACAAAACAAUCAAUAGAAGCCACUGAACGACAACUUGAGAGUGACGAAACCACAAAAACUCAGAAUCACAAAUCAAAGAUAAACCAAACAAAACCAUCACCACACACAGUGUCGUUUAAGAGAAUCAGCAACAAACAAACCUAGAUUGAAAAAACAACCACCACCUUUGCCACAACAACAAAAACAAUCGAUGUCAUCUUAACGAAAUUCACCUUCGCAACAACAAAAUCCACCUUCACAACAACAACACCAUAUAUCGAUCCACAAUGACAAUAACAAACAAACCCUUUCGAAUUUUUGAAACCGUCAAAAACACCGCCCACCGUCAAAACAAAACACAACCGGCGAGCAACAGCACACAAUGGUGACACAUCGACAACAAAGCAUCCACAAGCACAAUAGUCACAAACACAAAAACACUACCCACGAACACCAGAAACCAACACCACCGUGAAGGAUCGGAACCGGAGAAAAACCCCCAAUCACCACAAGUACGGCAGAUCAACUAACCAUACCCCUGACGACGGCAAAAUCAAGGUGACGAGGAGGGCUGAUGAAACAUAGAACAACUCUGAACCAAGACAAAGAGAACGAAAACAACUGCGUCGACGGUUUGGAGAACAGCCCGUUAAGGUUGAAUGGUAAUGCGGAGAUUAAAGAACUCGUCGCAUCACCACUGUUAGUGUCUACGUCGAACUGUUUGGAUUUGGAGGAUGAGAAAGGGAGGAGUGGCUAAUUGUGUGGUUGUUUAUGGAGGUGAAGAAGUUUUGCAGGAGAGAGAAGGGAGGAGCAGCGCGGCUAUUCAAUUCCCAACCCCCUCCAAAGAAUAUGAUGCAUGAUUUAUCUAAGUGAAAAUUUUGACGUUAAAUAAAUACACUAUGAUCAAAUACAUUUUGACAAAUAAAUUAAAAAUAGCUCUUGUAAUAGUGUAAAUACUUUAUUUCUAUUAUAGUGUAGUCGUUUUUUUUUAAUUGGAUUUAAUAUUUCUUGGUUAAUAAUUUAAAUAAUAAAAUACAAGGGAUAAAACUGCAAUUAUAAUAAUCUAAAAGAAGGAUAGAAUUGUAAGUGACAAAACUAAUGUAUCACAUAUAUAGGUACAUGAAUUAUUCUUUUGAACCAUAUAGGUAUAGGUGGUAUAUAUAUAAUGCGUGGAUAACGUGAUUUAUAAAGAAUGACAAAUGCGCAAUCCUAUUAAGACAAGCAAAAGCAAAUGUUGGAGAUGGUGGUUUCAUUCCAACCUUAAAAGUCCACCCAUGUAUAAUGAGUUGGAAUCAUGGUUAUAUUCUCCCCGAUUCCUGACCUAAUUAAACAUCCUAAUCGUCAUGUUAUUGGACUAUUUUAUUGUUGUCGUUUCAUUUGGAUUAUGGUCAUGCUUGAAUUUUUUAAUGUUUGGUCGUUAGUUAGUUUUGGAUCUGAAUUUUUAAUGUAAAAUGUGUGCAUUACCAACAAGUAAUUAAUAAACUAGAUACUCCCCCCGGCUAAAAAUAAUUGUCUAUUUAAUAUUUUUUCUUAAAAUAAUUGUCCAUUUAGAAUACAUAACACAACAUUUAUUAUUUUUUCUACUGUUAUAUUCUUAUUUAUUGAAUUUCAUCCCACUCAAUUACUUCACUAAUUACAAUUAAUAAAAAUAAUAUUUUAAUAAAUGAUAUUAAUUUUACCAUUAAAAUCGACUAUUUCUUGACUGGUGCUAGUCACACCCCAAAAAAAACUAGUUACACCCAAAUUUAUUUAAAAUUUUACAAUAAUACCAAAAUUGUCCUCUUCAUGUAAAUUUUUAAAAACCCAUCUUUUAUGAUCAUUCUGAACCCUUACCCCCUUUCAUCCACAAAUCACCAUAGAUUUGCAACCAAUAUCUGAAUCAACAUAUUUAUUAUUGAUCUGUACUAUAUUCAUAAAGAUUAAUGAAUUUCAUGAAUUUCAUUUUCAAUGAGUUUCUAUUUGUUUAUUGUUUGUUUUGGUAUGAGAUAUGUUCAAUUUAGAUUAGUGUAAAUUAAGUUUACUUAUGUUCAAUUUAGGUUAAUGUAAAUUUAGUUUACUUAUGUCAAUGUAAAUUAAGUUUACUUAUUAUGUGGUUAAUGUAAAUUUAGUUAACUUUACGUUCAAUCUAGGUUAGUGUAGAUUCAGUUUACAUGUAUAUAAGAGGUUAGUGUAAACUCAGUUUACUCAAUCUAGGUUAAUGUAAAUUCAGUUUACUUAUGUUCAAUUUAGGUUAAUGUAAAUUCAGUUUACUUAUGUUCAAUUUAGGUUAAUGUAAAUUUAGUUUACUUAUGUCAAUGUAAAUUAAGUUUAUUUAUGUUAAAUUUAGGUUAAUGUAAAUUUAGUUUACUUAUGUUCAAUCUAGGUUAAUGUAAAUUUAGUUUACUUACGUUCAAUCUAGAUAUAAGAGGUUAGUGUAAAUUCAGUUUACUCAAUCUAGGUUAAUGUAAAUUAAGUUUACUUAUGUUCAGUUAAUGUAAAUUCAGUUUACUUAUUCAAUUUAGGUUAAUGUAAAUUUAGUUUACUUAUGUUCAAUGUAAAUUAAGUUUACUUAUGUUCAAUUUAGGUUAAUGUAAAUUUAGUUUACUUAUGCUCAACUUAGGGGUUUAUUAGUCAUUCUGGGGUGUAACUUGUUUUUUUUGGGUGUGACUAGCACCAGUCCUAUUUCUUCUUUGAAUUAUCUUUUCAUAACAUUUGUUAAGGACGAUUUUAUAAAACAACGGAUAAUAUAAUACAAAAUAAUUUUCUCAUUUUACUCCGUAAUUUUAAAAUGAAUUGGGCUUAGCUAAGAUUUGUUGGGCUGAAAAUACUGAACGAAUUGAGCCCAUCGUGAAUGUUCCGGUGUAGCACGAAUCAGAAUCAGAUUCAGAAGAAGAAGCAUAGCAAUUAGCAGCGAUUUCAUCGCCACCGGUAACGUUGUUUGGUGAGAGAAAUGGCGAAUCAAGGUGCUAAGAAACGCAAAGAAGAGAACUCUCGUCACAUCACCAAGCUCCGCCACAUCAUCAUCGCCUGCAAUGUACUCUUUCUCUCUCUGAUUUCGAUUUCAAUUUCAAUUUCAUUUCACUUUGCUUGGAUUUUUUUAGUUAUGAUUAGUUUUUUUCCUUUUCUUUUCUAGAAAUGAAUAGUAAUUGAUAAAUUCUACUGGUUAUUGAUACUGAAAAUAUGGAUGCAUGUGAAUACAAUUAAUUUACUGUUGUUCAAAUUAAGCUAUUGCUUUUUGAUUCUGAUUACCUGAUUUAUUAUUGAACAGGUUAUUUAUUUAAUAAUUAGGAUGUUAAUCUUCCAUUCAAGCUUCACCUGGAAGCAUUGGAUUGGCUUGGUUUUGACUUCUCUAGCUUAUUAUUUUCCUUACCAACAACUUGCUAAGAUGGCAAAACCUAGUUAUACACAAGACGGUGAGCUCUUAGAUGGUGGUUUUGAUAUGACUACUGGUGGAGUUUGCGGGUACGACUCUGUCUUGUCUUGUCUUCUGGUUUUUGUAAAGAUCUCCAUAAGCACUUAUGGAAAAUGAGAUUUUAAUAGAUAUCACAAUAACUGAGUUGUUUAAAUGAUAGCUUCUUAUACAAGUUAAAAGUAUUUUAUUAAUCUCAUUUUUUUCCGUAAAUUCACCCGUUUAACUCAUCCCUUUAGACCUAUAAGCUUAUACGGACUUUUUCAUGGGUCUCCAUAAACUUAUUUUAACAGGGAAACUCCUGUUAGUUAGAAGCUAAUCCAAAUUGUGCCUUUUGCAAUCAUUGUAUGUGUACAAAAUGUGCAUCAUGAUUUAGAAAAUUAUGAUGUAUUCGUGCCUAUGGUUUUUUGACUUAAUCUUUUGUAGUUUUUCUUUCGGGGAAUUUUUGUAAAUAACAUGGUACUCGGUGUUGAAUGUUUUUGAAGCUCUUAAAUUUGUAUGACCUGUACUAUAUUUUACUGAAACUAAAAUGAAAAUAAAUAAAAUUAGCAAUUUCUGUCAUCAUGCAUAAAUGGUUGACAGAUAUAACUGUUGAACAAAAGUGUUGUGUAUAUAUUGUAGGCUGUAGCCUAUGGAAUUUGGUCCCGGGAUGAAUCUAAAACUUGUUCAUAGUGAGAUAAUCCUAUAGGUCUAGGGAACUCUUAUUUGAAACCAAAUUAUAUAGAUAAAAAUGAAGUUCAGAUAUAUUGAAUGUUUUGCUAUCUUCUGAUUGUAUGAUAAUUCUUCACUUAUUGUUGGUCAUAUUUUGCAGCUAUUUACAUGAUGUUAUCUACAUAACAUGCUUUGUGCAAGUUGCUUCCAUCAUCUCUGGAAAGUUCUGGUACAUAUAUCUUGUGGUAAGUUCCAAUUUGCUUCUAGAUAAGCUUUUGGAUGGUUGUAUUGGCACAAAAAUGUGGUUUACUUUUAGAAUGUAGGACUGUAAUUGUUAAUGCUGUAGUCACACUCCGACUCUGUGUUGCACGGGUGCGGGUACGGGUACGGGAUACGUCAUUUCUCAAAAAACAAAGGUACGGGUACGCAAGGAUAAAUAAAAAAUUUAAUAUAAAAUAACAUAGCAUGAGGAAAUUAUAUUGCUCAACCGGCGGAUUCAAACAUGUAGUUCCAGUAGGAAAAGGAACUUGUACUGGAUUUGCUUUUUCCUUAGCAAUUCUGUCAAGUUCUUUCAUCUCGGCAAGAUAUUCAUUCGUCACUUUUGAACAAAUAGCUAUCCCUUGUUCUUUUCUCGGAGCAAAUGACAUCUUAUUCUAAAAUAAGAACCCUUGUAUAUAUAUUGCGAUAGUUGCAGUUCCAGGUUUGCAUUAUUUCCUUUUCCUUCACAUUUAAUUUUGAAAUGAAAAACCUUAUUUUCUCAAGAAAAAAAUGGUUAUGCGUACCCUGAGAGUACCACCGCCGUACCGUAACCGUACCAAGGUUUAAAAAAAAAAUUGGUACAUCAUGGGUGCGUACAGUACCAGUACCCAUGGAGUACCCGUACUCCCGGUACGGGUACGUUUUGCAAAUUGGAGUACCCGUGCUUCAGAGCUCCGACUGGUGCCACUUCAAAGAAUGUAGUCUUAGCUACAAAGUUCUAUUAUCUACAAGGUUUGGCAGUGUGUGAGUGUAUGCACAUUUGUUCUGUUGUGAAAAUAAUUAUUCGCCAAAAAGAGGAGGUUAUCUAGGGCUUCGUUUGCGAGUUUGGAGGGGAAGGGAGGGCUUUGGAAGGAAAAAAAAAGGAAGGAGCAAGUGGAAGAAAUAGAGGACUUUGAGAGGGGAGGGCUUUGGGGGGGGGUUCAUUUUUCUUCAUAAAACAAAAUCCUCCUCAUUUGGGGGAACUCAAAAAUUGUAUAGGAGGACGAUUUUUGAGGGUUCUGGGGGGUUUAUAUGAAUUCUUCAAAUUCUCUUUCAAAAAAAAAAAUGAAUUCUUCAAAUUUAAUCUAUGUUAAAAUAUCCUUAAAAUUUAAAAUGUAUUAAUCAUACACAGUAGUUUAUCAUUCUCUAAAAAGAUACUCUUUCAAAAAAUAUGAAACAUUUCUCUAUUUUCCAACCUCCCAAAGCUCACCCCUUCCCAUACUCCCAAACAAGCCUAAACGUUAUUAGAUUUACUUAUUAGUGUAUGUCUGAAAGAUAGUACAUAUUGCAAACUUUUAUGUGCCAGAAAGCAACCAACUUGAAGGAAAAGGGAUUGUAUUGCUAAACAGAAGGAGGCGCACAAAACAUUGUGUGCUUUAUCAUUUAACUCCUAGUGACUUCUCUCACACUGGCAUAGUAGUUGUUUAUAUAUGAAUUAUAUCAGGUGCUGUGCAAUCAACUGUGGUUGGGGGCUGUUUGAAUUAUGGCUUAUAUUUUUCUUUUUUGCUCCUAAAAUAUAUAUUUACUAGUUGAAGUUAAAGUUUUAAUCAAUACUCGGACAUAUAUGAAAUGGUAAAACCCUUUAUUAAUCAUUAAGCGAGAUUGCAACGACCUUCACUGACACGGUUGCUCCCUUGAUGGCAUGUCAGAUACCAGCAUUUGGAGCAUACCAAUCCUUUGGCUUGAUUAAAGGAUUUUUGCCUCAAGGUUCAGAGGUAUGGUCACCGUCUUGAUAAAUUUUCAUUUUCAGGCCACAGAAAGGUUCAUAGUAACUUCAAUUGAGUAUGCAUUUUGUGAUUAGGAAUCGGUUGAAGAUGAAAAGACUCGCAAGAAAAGGGAAAAGAUGGAAAAGAAGGCAUCCAGACCUAAGUUUGUCAAGACACGAACCAGAUAGUUUGCUGGAAUGGAAGCCCAGAUGCACAAUAUCACCCAAUUAUCCAAGAUUGAUGGAGGGUUUUACUGUAACUUAAAGUUAUUACAAGUUUCAUUUUAGCCUGAGUUAGUUUUUCAUGUGCAACAAUUUCCUUUUCUUAUGCCCCUCUAUUUAGGGAAAGAAAACAAGAACAUGUAUCCUUUACACAAUUUAUAAAAGUUCUUGUAAGGACUAACCUCUAUGGGAUACUUGGAUUAAGAGUUGUCCAGUCUGUAAAGAUGCAUUGCAUCAAAUUACUCGAAACAUUUCAAGAGUUAAUGUCGUGGAAUUGUGUAAAUGGAUAUAACCUCGGCAUUCUAAAUCUUACAUGUGUGUUUUUAGAGUGUUUAGUUUGUUCAUCUGAAUAUUCAAUGCACCUUUCCAAAAGCUGUCUCGAAAACAGGGCAAAGAAUAAGAUGUGCAAGGAAUACAUUCGCCUGCUCCUAAGGGGGUGUUUGUUUCCAGGUUAUAAAAUUUAUUCCUAGGAAUAUGAGGAUGGGAAUGCACUUUCCCAUGUUUGGUAGAAGGUAAAAGAAAAAUAUACCUGGGAACAAAUUAUACCCAGGAAAAUUUUUAACCCAUGAUCUCCCUAUUUUUAUUCCCAUGAAAAAGGAGUUGGAAUGUUUUAUUCCUAGGAAUGACAUUUGCCUUGCUACAUGAAAACCCCACUACCACCAUGUUUUUUCAACUGCCAAUUAAUUUCUAUUUUUUUCUUUUACAUGCUCUACAUCAAGACAUUGUUAUAAUGUAUGUUAUUAUAUGUAAUUCAUCUAUUAUUUCUUUAUGUUCUUUUUGGUUUGUGCAAAAAAAUAUUUAUGUGUCUAUUAAAGUUUUCAACAAUAUUGUUCUAUUAUAUCAAUCAACUAUAUUUUAUCAAUCAACUAUAUGAAAACAUAAUUUUAUUUCAUGGUGUAUUUUCAAAUGCUUCAAGUUAUAAUGAAAAUAAAAUGUAGUAAAAUAAAUUCAAAUUGAUUUAGAAACAAGGUAGAGGUAUUUUUGUAACUGUAUCAUGUUUUUUCUAGGAAUAUAUAUUAUAAACUAAACAACAAUUAGCUAUUUAUGGGAACAUUUUUUGAAAAUAUUCCUGAAAAAUUAAAAUACUAACCAAACACUUUUUUUUAAAAUACCCAGGAAUAAACUUUCCACUACUUUAUUCCCAGGUAAGUUAUUCCUGGGAUUAAUUUAUGAAUCCCUGAAACAAACGCCCCCUAAAUUAUAUAUCGAGUUAAAUAAAUUCUUCAGAUCAUCAAAAUGUCUCUCGAUUGAGAUCUUCAUUAUAUAUCCUUGCUUCUUGUUGGACUGAUCAUGGUCAAAUUCAAUACCCCUUUGCUUCAUAACCUUUGUGAUGAUCUUUGCUAACAAACUCAAUUAGACAAAUCACAUUCAUGGAGGAAUUAUGCUCUUUAUCCAAAUGGUUUUGCUCAUUCCCAAAGUAAAUGAUCAAAAUACCCCUACUCAAGUUAACUUACGUUAGUGUUGAAUUUACGUGACUUAACUCGGUUUUAAACAUUUCAAAAGCUUUUUGCACUGUUUUAUUUCUCUUUCUACUUAUAUCGUGGGUAGUUGCUCAAAAGCUUAUUGCACUUUGUUUUGUUUCUCUUUCUAGUGAUAUCAUGGGUAGUUGCUAACAUUCUGUCUAGGCUAAAAUAUGACGAUGGGUAGUUGCUAACAUUCUGUCUAGGCUAAAAUAGUCCCUGCAAAUAUGCCUCAUUUUGGUUUUAGUCCCUGUAAAAAAAAAUUGUUGUUUUUGGUCUCUGCAAAAUAUUUUGAUUUUGAAAAUAGUUCCUGCAGGGACUAUUUUCAAAAACAAAAUAUUUUGCAAGGACCUUUUUGAAAAUGAAAAGAUUUUGCAGGACAAUUUCUCUAAUAAAUGGGUUCAGUCAUCAUGUGCCACGUGUGCAAAUCAUCACAAAAGUGGAGCCAGGGACCAAAACCAAAAUGAGGCAUAUUUGCAGGGACCAUAAACAAAAAAAAAAAAUUACAGAGACUAAAACCAAAACGAGACAUAUUUGCAGGGACCAAAACCAUAUUUUAACCUUCUUUUUAAAUCAGAGAGGUGGCCCGUAUGCAUCCUCAUUCAUUUUCUUAUAAUGGAUUGUCUAAAUCACAUGACGUGGCCCACAUGCAUCCCCAUUCAUUGUCAUAGAUUUUGAAAUGUUUAAAACUAACGUGAGUUAACUUGCAUUACGUGAGUUAAUUUCCGCUAGUGUAAAUUUUUGUAUGAGUUAAUUUUUACAUCAGCAUGAGUUAACUCAUGCAGUGCAAGUUAACUUACGCAGGGAUAAUAUGAACAUUUACUUUGGGAAUGAACAUAACCGUUUAGAUAAAGAGCAGAAUUCUACAUGGAGCAACAUCUCACCCCCUCAACUUCUAAAAAUCUUCAGAUAUUUUUGGUAGCAUAUUCCAAAAACCAAAAUGGAUACAUACGAGACAAUGGGUCUUUACCAAAGGACCUAAUACGAUUUGAUUCGUUGGAAUUAAGAGGAUCGAUUCAUUUUGUACUCUAUUUAGAUUUAAAAUUUGAUUAUAAAUUCAGUACUUCAAAUUUGAAAAAAAAUUGUGAUAUCAAAUUCCUUCUUAUCUUUUUGACUAAAUAAAAUUCCUUCUUAUCAUUUAUUCUAAGCUUGAUAAUUACAUUACUAUAUCAUUUGCCAAAACCGUGUAGCAAUGAGUAGGUAAUUGCAUUUUUUAAGAUGAGAAAUCGUAAGCGUAUAUACUGUAACUAAUUUGGGUUGUGCAAGAAAUUUAACCAUUCAUGCAUAUUAAUUUAAUUAAUAUUUUACUCGGUUAUCAGCAAAUUUGAACAUAAGAAGUCAAUUAUUGGUUAGUAAGCUAUUGGUUUAAUCAGUUCAUUGUACUGUUAAAUUCCUUACAAGAUCUACAUAAGACAUAUUUUCGAUGUAAUGACUAGUUCUGUCACUCCCGUGACAUUCUGGGAGAGUAAUUUGAAACAAUUUUACAUUGUUACCUUUCUAUACAUAUCCAUCCAUAGGAAAUUUAGGAUCAUGAUUUCCUCCACAUAACACAUUCAUGCCAGAAGCAGCUAUGGCUUUGGAGUGAAUUUGGACAUUUCCCUGAGUAGGCACUUGAUGUUGGCAGGCAAUGGUUGCUCUGGAAAGUUUCACCACGUGUAGCAUGUAAUUUGCCAAGCUUUGUAGUUAUAGACGGGGCAGUAAAAAUAACUAUUUUGCUGCUCAUGGAACUUUAUCCAAGGUCACAGUCAAGAGAUUGGUUUCACGCUCUAAAGACCAAGACAAUUUCUGAUGAGCAUCAAUGCUCAAGUUAUAUUCUUGAAAGUAGCCAUUGUAAGUUAUCACACACAUGUUGGCCCUGGAAAAUUGAAACACAUAAACUUUUAGAAAACAAAUCGACAUCAGAUAUUUAAUGAAACAUUGGGAGAAAGGACAUGAUUUAUUGAAACAAGUAGGUAUCACCAUAUGGAGCUAGUCAUAGACCUUUGUACUUUAUAACCCAAAAAGAAGUACCACACUUCAAUAAGCAUAUCUUGAGACCUUCUACUUCUCUGGUUACAACUUACACCUAUUUAGAUAAUUCUAAACUUCAGUGCUGUACAUUUAUAUAUUGGGAAAAACCCAAGUCCCACAUCGGAUAGACAAGACUCUUGAGAAGAGUAUAUAAAGAGGAGGUAAUUCUCAAAUUACAAGCCGGUUUUGUAAGGAUGAGUUAGGCCCCAAAUUACAACAAUAUAUAGCCACUUAUUGUUGGUUGGAUUAAGGGUUUUCCAUUUAACCAUAACAACCUAAAAACCGUAACAUUGUGAGACAUGCACACACGUCAAUUUUUAGGGAAACCAGAACAAACAGUUUAAGUGGAAAACUGAAAUACACGGCCAGACGAAAUUAGAUACAAUAACUUGGACCAAUCACUAUUGGUAUACAACCACAGGGAGGUGACAUUUUUUAUUAAAUUAAAAAAAAACAUGCAAUGCACAAGAAAGCAUUGAUUUGUUGACUACAUGUGCCGCACAAAGGCAACAAUGAAACCUUACAAUAUUACUAUCACACUAUGAAACUGAUAUCAACAGACAGGAAAUUCCAAAACCCAACCAAUAAGCAAUAGCCAAUAAGAAAGAUUCUGGGAACGGAGAGCCACUUAUAGUACAAUCACUUAUGUUCAACACAUCACAUUUCAUGUUCAUAAAUCUCCUACAUGCAUCAUCACAUAUUUGCCUUGGUUGCUAAAUUGAUUGUCAACAUUUAUGGGCCGAGCAAUGUUAGAAUUUGAAAAAUGCAUGCAGCACAUAAAAUAAUCAUAUUUCCGUAUCUAAAAUGCAAAACCAAAGAGGUCAUAUAAAGUGGUGCAGUAAACCAUAGUUCCACGUGAAAGAGAAACUUAUUCAUUCAGAAGAAGCCAUGCAAUAUGCAAGAUUUCAUUUUUAGUCUGUUAGCAGUAAGCCAGUAACUAGUAACUACCGACAAAAGCCAAAAUCAAAUAAAGAUUUGCUAAAUGGUGGCCAAUAAUGAGGCACUCACCUACAAGCUAAAAGUUCAGAUGAUGAGGUGUCAGUAACAUUUUCAACCUUGCGAAUUACUGCAGAGCUGUAUGAUAAACAGAAGAUGUUAUAAAAUAAGUGUACAUAAAUACUAUUCUUACUACUAUAUAAUCAGAAAUCCUUGUUUGGCUGACACAAUAAAUCCCCAAAAAGAUAACGCGAUAAAUCUUGAUUAUAAAAGCAAGGAUCAUAUCCGUAUAAGAUAGUUCCAAUGUCUAGAAAGGCCCAUAUAAAAUAUCUUCCCAAGACAUGAAUCCAGCAACAUAAAAAUACUUAACCUUUUGACUCCUGCAGGAACAGCAUUAUGAAGCACAUGAUGAUAAGCUGGAUCCAGCACAUCAUUCACUGCAUCAGGAAUUAUCGAUCCAAGAAAACCGCUUGAUCUCUUGCUCCUAGUAAAAUCAUCAAACAUAAACAGGACAUCUUUCCAAAUCCAUUUCAGAGGAAGAAAAUAAAAACUUUUGAAAGUAAUCAAAGCUUCCCCAAAUUAUAUGGACAGAUAAAACCAGUUAUACAAAGGGUUGUGUACAUCUGAACGUGCAAUAACUAGUAUGUCAUCCACUUCUUUAAGUAUGCAAGAAGGAAAUAUUCAAUUCAGAGUGGCAUUUCUUAUUUGGCCCUUAAUAGAUAGCUGUCCCCCAAUAUUGAAAACAUUAAGUUAAUUUUUUUCACUAUUUGGCUUUUUCAGUGCUAUUUACAAGUCCAUUUGAGUAUUUGACCAAGCCAAACACAGUAUUUGACCAAGUCCAUUUAAUUGUUUUACAUUUAAAUUUAAAUCAGGCUAGCUCAACUUUUAAUGAGGUGAAACAAUCCAAACCUAUGUGACAUGUUGACUGGUGUACAUCAAUAAAGUAGUCUAACACUUGGGAAAGUUGGCGAGGCGAGAAGAUUUUAAAUUGAAUUCUCACCGUGGAUGUGAAGCAAAUCCAAGAGUGAAAAGAUGAAUAGAACCAGAAGAACUAGUGGCUGCAAGAAUAUCUGGAAGCUGCUUUGAUGGCCCAAAGGACAGAGAAAAUAUGGUAGAUGAAUAUGAACCCCUUCGGAAGCUAUAUGACUGCAAUAAAAACAUUUGUCAGAUUCUACACCUGAAGUAAAAUUGCAACAGAUAUAAUAUCAAAAGCAUAAACAACUGUGAAUGUCUCAUCCAUGAAUGACCUUGAAGCCAAAGAAUGGAAACCAAAAAAACGAGCAUUAUAAAUCAAGAAAGUAUUGUCCCAUAUAAGCUCAAGGUCAAUACUAUUAGUAAAGGGCCUCUAAGUGCGUUUGCUAUGACUUCAAUUUAAAGCGACUUCUAAAGGAUUGCACCCAUAUUUGAUUCAAUAGAAAAUUCUAACCAAGAUCAUAUUGUUUGCAGCAUCAAAGAGAGAGAAAACACAGGAAGACACAAGCAGUAAUGGCUAAUAAUACCACUAAUAUCUCUUAUCAGUAUUAAAUGCAUAAAUUCAUCACCUUUGUUGCAUCUGAUACCAAAUGAACUCUGACCAAGGUUCCUUGCUCGGAUGCUGUAGCUAUAUACAUUCCGUUAGAAGAAAAGACCAUUGCAGCCAGUGGUGAACGAUGAGCCUCGAUCUGUAUCUCAGAUUCAAUAAUAAUGACCAUCAGUUUUUUUUUAGAAGACAAGUAAACAAAACAGUGUCAAUUAUAUCCUUAAAAUGAAAAUAUCAAUUGUCAUAAAAUAAUGGAAUAAGUCAAUUAUUCGUGUGUACUUCAAACCAAACCUUUUUCCUACUAUGCUCCCAAAAUAAAGAAAUCUCACACAAAGCAAUUAACGCAUACAGUUUAUGUAACUGAUUAAAUAUGUUAGUUCUUGAAAUUCCAAAGAAGAAAAGAGAUUUUUUAUUCAACUAAACAAGAAAUGCCGAAUCAAGAAGGCAGGGAUGAAAAGAGUAACAGCAAAAGAUGUAAAAACAUGAACAUUUAUAUUUUCAAGGUUUUCAUCAUCUCAUUUACUAUUUGUAGUUACCAGACAGUGAAGGUACAAUAGCAAUGGAAUUCAUGAAUAAUAAAGUGACAAAGCCAUUUUAUCUUAUUAUGCAAAUAAAUUUAUAAAGGAAAAUUGGGCAUAACCUCACAGUGUAAAUUACAAUCCAUGACAUUGUACAACAAUGCAGAUCCUUUCGUGGUACUAGCAGGGAGAGCCAUGUAGCAAGCAUCCAAACAAGGGGAAAGGGCACAAAGUCCUGUAGAGAAAAUUGUCUUAGAUAAGUUUAUGCAAUUAUACAUAAUAUAACAAUCAGCUUGGCAUAAUUAAACAUCAAAGUCAUUGUGGUCACAAUCCAGUUGACUAUAGCAUAAUAAUCUAACAGCUACAGCUUACAAAAUAAAUAAACAAGUCAAAAUCUUUAAAAAGUACUACUUUAAAAAUAAUUAAACUCAUUUAACAAUGAUGUUUCACUAGAUGCUUCUGAUCUUGAGUGGCAUCCCUAAUUUAAACUGGUGGUUAACUUCAUAGAACAUAAUGGUAGAAGCUUGAUAUGAUUGCAUCUCAGUAAGAUGGGUGCCCUAGUUAGGCAUGGGCACGUUCUCUUUCGUUUUAUCACAGGCACAAAAGGGACACACUCAUCCAAAAGUCAAAAUGAAAGGUGCUAGUCUAUCAGAGGAUAAUAUGUAUAUGGAAAUAAGAAAUCUAUAUUAACUUUUCAAGUAAUUUGAAGGAAAAACAAUGCUUAUCACAAACCUAUGUCCAAGAUUAAUUCCUGACUGAGUGAAAUCUUAUCAAGUAGUAUUUGCAACCUCACCUUUAAUAUUUGGAACCGUGUCGAAAGUGUCCAAGAUUGAAAGACUAUUUAUUUCAUAUACAUAUGCUUUGUCUUGUAAAAUGACAAUGAGUCUGCAUUAGAGAGAAACAAUGUCAGCUAAGAUUAUUCUCAAUAGUCAAAAUGAAUGCUGAUCAGGUCAAUGAACUUGGAUUACUUAUGAAAGGAAAAGAAACUGUAAACCAAGAAAUUAAAAACUUAUAGGAAACUUGGCUGAAUACAAAAAUUGUAAUCUAGAAGGUAUUUGUCAAGUUGAAUUUGACCAAUAUAAUAAAUUAAAUAAUGUGGCCAUAUAUAGUUGUCUGAAACUCAGUAAAAAAACAGAAAGAGGAAAUAUCAGUUUAGUUAACACUCUUAUCUAAGACCAUCUAAGACCCUUGAUCAACGAAAACAUCUUCGAACUCAAAAACUAAUUGACAUGUUUCAAAUUUUCUUCCUAAACAUUCCUAUUCCCAGUUCAUGGAUUUUAGUAACAGAAGAAAUUUCAAAGCUAAAAGUAAACUAACUCACAAUGUAAGCUCCAAAUCAAAUUGAGUAAAAAAUACGCAUAUCAAUUUGUAUAGCUGGAAACAAUGUUAUUUACUUAAAUAUAAAGUACACAAAAAGAAGCAUUUGGCAGUGCAAUACUAAGCAUUAUGAGGUGCAUGUAUGUGUGACCUUUUUCGAUUCAUGCGAAUAGCUAGUAUUGAAGUAAGAAAGUUCAAUUCUCUAAGAGGAGCACCAGUUGUAGUAUUGAACAAACAGAGUCGGCGAGGGGAUAAAGAUGGCUGCAUAAGUUACAACAAUACAAAACCAAAUCAGAGAGAGAAGAGAAACCUCUAAAUCAAAUAAAGACUCUGUUUGGAUAAACAACUUAAUUUGCAGCUUAUAGCAUAUAUAUGUGUUUAUCAUGAUUUUUUGAAUAAGCUUAAGAAAAUAUUAAAAUAAUGUAAAAUUGUUUUUGUAUAAGGUAUAAGUUGUUUUGAUAAUGAAAAUAAGGUGAAAAGAGGUUAUGAAGAUGUGAUAAGCUGU
rnacentral:lncRNA from 1 species